rnacentral:lncRNA from 1 species
AAAGAAAAAAGUAGUGUUCAUGAAAAGAAUCAAGUUUUUUUCCCUCAUAUUUCUUCCCCAUGCCUCCUCUGAUUCUGCCAUUUGUUUCCACCCGUAGAGACGGAUAAAAUACAUGGAAAGAAGAGACUUGCAGGUAAGGUAUUGGAUUUGCUACCGUUUAAUCCAACUAGUUUGAGUCGAGGAUGAUGACGUGAUAAGUUGUUGAUCGUUCACUGACCUGACGCAACAGGAGGCGCACAGGAAACUUCCACUCGUAGGUGAGUUAGACCAACCAUUGUUGUCAGAAACCAGUGUUGCACGGGUUUGUGGAAGAUGAAAGGGCACGAACCUUAUCCAACGAGGAUAAAAGGAAAGUGGAUGUACCAAGCUCCUCCGACUCGUUCGUCUAUCACGGUUGGUGUGCAUCAGGAUAUCUGUGGGUGCAGGUGCAGAAUAAGUCCCUCGGCGGGGACAGGGAACACGAUUUACCACUAAGUAGGGUACAGAGUUGGACCGAACCGGAAACCUGCCUGGCUCAAUCUGAUUAUAAGACCGGGUCGCGUCGGUUUGGGUUGGCCUAGCUAUAUGUUGAGUUCGGGUUGAAAUUCCAUCCCACCGUCCAAUUUCCCUUUCCCGAGCGAAACAUGAAAGCACCUAUUUUAUUUAACACAUACCUUAACAAAUUGAUUGUGUGGAAUUUGCUAUGUUGACUAACUAUCGAAUGAUAUAAUAAUUAGCUCGACACUAACUCGGGUGUCUCAGCCCAAGGCAACAACCAAACAUCCCAUCAAAUUAAUAUAGUGCACAACAAUGUUAAAUGUAAUGUUUAAUGAUUCUAUCGAUUCUUUACGUCAGGUAACACUUAAUGAUUCCACAUAAUUAUCAUCCUAAUUAAAUAUCUACUUAAAUCAAUAUUCAAGUCUUAGUACAGAUUUUGUUUGUCCGUGAUUGUGAUUCAAAUAUAAUGGAAGCCCGUUCAAAGUCUUACUCCAUAUCACUAUUUGUAGAUGUAUUGAACCUAAAAAAUUAAAUAGGGGUACUCUCGACAAAUAUCCCGUAGAUGAUCAAGUUAAUUGUAUAGUUUACAUUAAUCAAACUAGCCGAUCAAUGCUGACUAUGAGUUAUGUUAGAGUGCAUACUUGGAGGUCUUUGACCCGAAGACGAUUAUGCUCAGGAUUGUUGGUGAUAAGAGAGGGAUGUGCAGUAUACCUUGGGCAGAUACCAGGUAUCGAGUGAUGUUUGUCAUACCUUAAGCCCAUGUUAGCUAUUUAUGCCAUUCACAGGAUACGAAUAAUUGAUCGCUCAAUCUCGUAUCACCCACAACGACCACGUGUCUUUCAGAUCUAAUUGUCAUGUGUGGACCUCGUAGGGUUGACGUAAUCUUUUGAUGAUUGGUUCGUUAGCCAUGCGUCACUAUGUGGCGACCAUGUGUCCAUUAUGUCAUUCUUUACUUUUCACCGAGAGACACUAUAAAAUUCAUUAGGUAUAUCGUUUGACUAAAUCUCUCAUGUAUGUACUAGAUAAAAUCUUUAGGAUCUUUUGAGCCCCCUUUCUAACUUAAAUAUUACACGAAUUUUUAAGUUUUACCUAUUGUGUUUUUUUUAUGAAGUCUAACCAAGUUUGGACAUCUCCGAACACCAUGUUGUUGGAUAUUAUACUUUUGGUUGCCUUCAAUUCCCAACACAUCAAAUCAAACAAUCAAAAACUCUUGUAACACAGUCAAAAUUGCAUGUCGUUCGAGUACUCUUAACAAAUAAAACAUUAUGAUGUGUAUGAUAUGAUAUAACCAGAUUGACCAAAGUUACGAUUGUAAAAGUGACAUUCUCUUGCUUACACGAGCAAAAUGCAAUGUCAUACUUCAUCAAUGGAAAAUUAAUCUCUCCAUAUCAAUUGCUCGAAGAUGACACUGCAUUCACUUAAAUUAAUCAGCACUUAGAAUCCAUAUGACAUACUACAUUAAUGGAGGCGGCCUUUGCCUCGUUCUCUACUGCGUGCGUUGAUUUAGUUACUUGAUAAAUCUAACUGAAUCUAAUCUUUAUCUAUUCGAGUAUCAUAGUGGUGAUUAUGAUGAUCAGCCUCGAUCAAUAGCAUAGAAUCAAACGUUGGGUCGGAGUAAAACAUAUCAGGAGAUUGGAUAUCGGGCCAGAGGAUCCGUCGAUGACAUCGGGCCAGAGGAUCCGUCGAUAUGCCGGUAGAAGAACUUCGUGCUGUGUGUUCGGCCAUCGGGCCGAAGCAUUGGAUAUUGCACUAAGGAGAUUAGAAGUUGCGGGAGUCAACAUACCAAUUGGACAAUAUAUCGAAGGAGAGGACGAUGCACCGAAGGAUUGGACAAAGCGCCGGAAGAACCAAUGACAUGCCGGACAAUAUAUGAUUCGUACUUUGUAAUAAUUUAUCUAGAUCGAGUUAGUUUAGGUCUAAUUUAGUCGGUAUUGGGGUGAAACAAUGUCAACUCAAUUAGGGGCUAAUUGGGCCUGAAUUGUGACUGAAUUGUACCUAUUGUUUGGCCCAUUGAGUGUCUUGUAGUAGGGUCAAGUGAUGGUACCGCCAUACUGAGCGGUAGUACCGUCAGACUUGGCUGUGAUACCGCUUAGACAUAGGCUCCCAGAUUGUGUCAAGCUAUGGUAUCGCCAAACUAGGCGAUGGUACCGCUCAAACACAAUCUCCCAAACUGUGUCAAGCGGUGGUACCGCCAAACUAGGCAAUGGUAUUUCCCACUAUCAAUGCUGCAAGUGAUAGUACCACCUAGCAUAAGUGGUGGUACCACCCAGCACAAGCGGUGGUACCGCCAGACCUAGGAUGAGACUUUUUUUGGCUCUAUUUUUGAAGUCAUUUAGGGUCUAUAAAUACCCCAGCUAUUCCUGCAUGGAGAUGUAAGAAUUGAGCAAAAAGAGGAAAUAAUUCUAAGAUGAAAAAAUGUUGUAAUCUCUCUAAGUUUAGUAAGUCUCUUCCUCCUAGAGUUAGAAGGCUUCUAAGGGAGGAGUGAGGUCUACAGGUGUAAAGGUUCUCACUUGAGCUUAUGAAAAGAUAAAAAAGUUAUAAGGGUAGUUGAUCUUCGCCCAUUGAAAGAAGAUCGGUAGUGAAAGCUGGUGGCCUCGAGUGAAGAGGAAUCGGGAGUGGAUGUAGGACACGACGACCGAGCCACUAUAAACUCGGUGUGCAAUUUCUAUUCUACUUUUCAUUAUCUUUGCUAUUAUUUUGUGAGUUAAUAGCUUUGUUCACUUACUAAGUCAAGCACACUUUUCCGAUAUCGAUUUCAUCGAACAUAAUUUUUCAAAAUCGAUAUUUUUAUAGUAAGCACUAAUUCACCCCCCCUCUUAGUGUCAACUUGAUCCUAACACCUCAUUCAUCUAGUAUCUCAUAGAUCGUAUAUUGGGCAUGGUGUUGUCAGACCCAUACGGUUUAUACUUAAGUCUCGCUUUAAUCGGAUUCUCCCGAAGAACUCUUUCUCUCUCAAUCCGAAUGACCCUAGCUAGGGAUUUGUCUGAGCAAGAAUACAUGAGAUAUUCCUCUCAUGACACCAAGAGUAUAUAAUCCUCUAUCGACACUCAAUAUUUCUUAUAAGGUUGGCUGCCACUCUCGAUGACCGGCUCAGAUCUGAAACUUCCAGACCUAUAAGUUCGAUAUCAAAGAGUGGAGUACUCAUAUAGGACAUCCAUGGUGUCUCAAGUUUAAGGACCAAAUAUACCACUAGGACGACGGAAUCACUAUCCGACAAUAAGGCAUCAUCAACCAUCUAGUAUUCCAUGAGCGGAUCAAUUAGUGAACUCAUUCUCCAAUUAGCAAAUUCACUAUAGUCCUAAUGACCCCACAUGAGUAGCUAUGAGACCAGUUGUCUCCAUCAUAUGGAUGAGUAUACAACAUACUAUUCUGUCCGGUUAUCUCGAUAUCCCUCUUGAGUAACCUAUGACCAGUAUUAUUUAGGGUCUAUGUUUAAAGGUGAAUCGGUCUCAUUAUCAUAAUCUCAUCACAAUCCGAUUCCCAUUAUAGAAAUACAUGGACAUCACAAUAUAUAUAUAUAUGCAUAUAUGCAACAAGCAAUAUAAGUGAUAAAAUGCUAAAUAAUAUAGUAAGCAAAAAGAGUGCGUGUCAUAUCAUACGUGUCAUCACUCACGUGAUUAGCUUGCAGGGCACCUAUGACUAGCAAUCUCCCACUUAACCUAAAGCCAAUCACCUAUAUGUAUAAUCCUCACGAGACCCCUGUGAUGCUCAAAGAUAAUCUAAGAUGACUUUUUAGUGAAUCUGUGAUGUUGUCUUUAUUAGGAUCAAGAGCACUAAGAGGAGGGGGGGGGGGNNNNNNNNNNNNNNNNNNNNGGUGAAUUAGUGCAGCGGAAAACUUUCAACGAUUAAAACUACGUUCGUACGAUAAGAGCGAUUUCGGUAGAAAAGUCAAUUCGUAAAUUACUUUAACUUGUGAUCAAGCAAGAUGCAGUUAAAGCAAGUCUGUGAAGGCAGUUUGCAGUUAUGACGGAAAUUAGAAUGUAAGUGCAAACUGAAAUAUGAUGUUCGUACGAUAAAACUGAUUUACGUCUAAACGCCGAUUCGGAAAAUACUGAACUUUGAAACACGAUCGUAAAUGCAUAGAAGGCAGUAAGCUAUUGAGGAGGUUUGCAGUAAAGAUAAUAUGCUCAAAGUAAAUGCAAACCGAGAUUUAGAGUGGUUCGGUCAAUCUUGACCUACAUCCACUUUUGGCUUCCUCCACCGACGAGGUCACCGACGUCCACUAGAGGCCUUCCUUCAAUAGGUGAAGGCCAACCACCUUUUUACAGUUUCACUCCUUUUGACGGGCUUAGGAGACAACCCUUAUAGAAUUUUCUUUCCUCUCUUGACAGAUCAAAACUUGGAAGAAAAGAGGAAGGAGAAUAGAGAAACUACAAAGAGUACUUUUCAGAGAGGGCAAAACAGAAGCUUGAAGAAGCUUCAAGUAUAUUCAUGAUCAGUCUAGUUGUUAGAUUUUUGUGAUAGUGCAUGGGUAUUGGAUACCGAUAGUGCUUAUCAUAUCUGUAAUUUAUUAUAGAUUCUAGUAAAGCCUAAGAGAUUAGCGUGAGGAAUACUGCAUAAUGAUUUAUUUAUGCUAGACACUACUCCACAUAUCAUGAAUGUAAUUAUAGCCGAGAGGAAACGAGAUGAGGUGAACAGUGCAUAAUUGUGGCAUUAUAGGCUAAGUGACAUCCAUGAGAGAAGGAUCCAAAAGUUGCUAAAGGAUAGAUAUCUAGAUUCAUUUGACUAUGAGUCAUAUGCAACUUGUGAAUCUUGCCUUCGUGAAAAACUAACUAACUCUCCUUUUAGUAGAACUGGAGAGAGAAUCAUUGAGCUAUUGGAACUCAUACAUAGUAAUAUAUAUGGACCCAUAUCAACUCAUGCCAUUGGUGGUUACUCCUAAUUCAUUACAUUUAUUGAUAAUUUCUCAAGGUAUGGACAUGUUUACUUAAUAAAGUAUAAGUCCGAAACCUUUAAGAAAUUCAGAGAGUAUAAGAAUGAAGUAGAGAACCAGACUGGAAAGAAUAUCAAGACUCUUCAAUCAGAUCGAUGAGGUGAGUACUUGAGUACAGAAUUCACCCAGUUCCUCAGAGACUAUUUGAUUCUAUCCCAAUGGACACUUUCUUAUACACCUUAGCUCAAUGGUGUAUCUGAAAGGAGGAAUCAUACAUUGUUAGAUAUAGUACGGUUCAUGAUGAGAUUCGCUGACCUACCCAUCUGAUUCUGGGGAUACGCCAUAGAGACCGUAGCUUACCUUUUGAAUAGAGUUCCAAUUAAGUCGGUAGUGUCUAUACCAGAUGGGAUAUGGAAAGGAAAAAAACCCGAUCUUAAGAUUGUUAAGAUUUGGGGCUACCCUACCCAUAUUAAAAAACACAACCCCGAUAAGUUGGAAUCGAAGACGGAGCGGUGCAAGUUUGUGGGAUACCCCAAGGAAACUUGUGGGUAUUAUUUCUAUCAUCAGAGGACCAAAAGGUCUUUCUAGCUAAGAGAGCGAUGUUCCUUGAGAAGGAACACAUUCUUGGUGGAGACAGUAGCUCAUGCACCACUCCACAACCUGAGUUUAUUUAGGUAUCUAGCACACAAGUUUCGACUUUACAUAGAUCCGAUAGAGCAUCCCAUCCUCAUGAGAGAUAUGUGGGACAUAUUAGAGGAGAGGAUGUUGAGGAUAUUGAUCCUUAGACCUAUGAGGAGGCUAUUAUGAGUCUAGACUCCGGGAAGUGACAAGAAGCCAUGAAUUCUGAGAUAGAUUCAAUGUACUCCAAUAAGGUUUGAAACAUAGUUUAUGCAGUCAAGGGUAUUAUACCCAUCGAUUGCAAGUGGAUCUUCAAGAAGAAGAUCGAAAUAGAUAGAAAUGUAAAGACCUAUAAAGUAAGGCUAGUGGCUAAAGGGCAUCGCGAAAGACAAGAUGUUGAUUAUGAUGAAACCUUCUCACUCGUAGCCAUGCUAAAAUCUAUCUGAAUUCUAUUGGCUAUUGCAACACACUAUGAUUAUGAAAUCUAGUAAAAAUUGCAUUCCUCAAUAACAACCUUGAGGAUAUUUAUAUGAUAUAGCCUGAGGGAUUCAUGUCCAAGGACUACCUAGAUAAGGUGUGUAUAUUGCAUAUGUCCAUUUACAAACUAAAGCAAGCUUUCCAAAGUUAGAACAUAAGAUUUGAUGAGACAAUUAGAUCUUAUGACUUCGUUAAAAAUGAAGAUGAGCCUUGUGCAUACAGGAAGAUAAGUGAGAGCGCUAUCACCUUCUUGGUGUUAUAUGUGAAUGACAUCCUAAUCGUCAGGAAUGAUGUAGGAAUACUAUCCAUAGUAAAUGCUUGGUUAUCUAGACACUUCUCUAUGAAAGAUUUAGGGGAAGCAUCGUAUAUUUUGGGGAUUCAGAUCUAUAGAAAUAGAUCCAAGAGGAUGCUUGGCUUAUCCUAGUCCAGAUACAUAGACACCAUUGACAAAAGAUUUGGCAUAAAAAAAUCCAAGAGAGGUCUCCUAUCGACGAGACAUGAGAUAUCACUUUCUAGGAAUAUGUCCCUAAAUACUCCUGAAAAAAGUACGAACAUGGAUAGGAUAUCCUAUGCCUCAUUGAUUGGAUAUAUCAUGUAUAUCAUGCUAUGCUAUAUACCAAGUCUGAUAUAGUGCAUGCUUUAAGUGUCACGAGCAAGUAUCAAGCGAAUCCAGGCUUAGAGCAUUGGAAAAUAGUAAAGUGUAUCCUUAAGUACUUGAGAAGGACUAAGGAUCUUUUACUGGUAUAUGGAACCCAAGUUUAUAGAAAUGUAGCGAUUGGUCAAGCAAAGGAACCCAAGUUUCAUUAGAAGUGUUCCGAGGAGGUUCCAGCUUGUUAUAGAAAUUAUGACACGAGGAGAUGUAGUAGUGAAAAAAGUUCCAUCCGAAGAGUCUCAUAUUGUCUUUAAGCGUCACAGGGGUCUGAUGUGGAUCAGACACAUAGGUGAUUGACUUUAGGUCAAAUGAGAGAUUACUAGUUAUAGGUGCCCUACAAGCCAAUCACAUGAGUGAUGGCACGUGUGACUUAACACAUAGUCUUUUUGCUUAUUAUUAUUAUUUGACAUUUUAUUACUUUAUAUUGCUUGUUGCAUAUAUAUAUAUAUAUAUAUAUAUAUAUAUAUAUAUAUAUAUAUAUAUAUAUAUAUAUAUAUAGUGAUGUCCAUGUAUCUGUAUAAUGAGAAUCAGAUCGUGAUGAGAUAAUGAUAAUAAGACCAAUUCACAUUUAAACACAGAUCCUAAAUAAUCCCGGUCAUAAGUUACUCGAGAGGGAUAUCGAGAUAACUGGACAGACUGGUGUGCUAUAUACCCAUCCAUAAGAUGGAUGCAGUUGGUCUCAUAGUUGUUCAUGUGUGGACACUAGGGAUACAGUACAGGUGCUCAUUGGAGAAUGAGUUCACUAAUUGAUUCGCUUACGGAAUGCUGGAUGGUUGAUGAUGCCUUAUAGUUAGACAACAAUUCCGUAGUUCCAAUGGUGUAUAUGGUCCUUAGACUUGAGACACCAAGGAUGUUCUGUAUGAGUACUUCAUUCUUUGAUACUAGACUUAUAGGUCUGGAGGUUUCAGAUCUAGCACAGUCGGUCACCGGGAGUGGUAGCCAACCUUGUGAGGACUAUUGAGUGUCGAUAGAGGAUCAGCCACUCCCGGUGUCAUGAGAGGAAUAUUCCAUGUGUUCUUGCUAAGACAAAUCCCUAGCUAAAGUCAUACGGAUUGAGAGAGAAAGAGUUCCUUGGGAGAAUCUGAUUAGAGCGAGACUCGAGCAGAAAUCAUAUGGGUCUGACAGCACCAUACCUAGUAUACAAUAUUUAGGAUAUUAGAUGGACGAGAUAUGAUAUGUACAUAGUAACUGAGGAUAGAUAGGUCAAAUGGAUUGAAUUCCCUUGUAUCGUUUGGGGAUUGUGCCAUAGUGGCCUAGUACGCCCGCAGUUGAUAAGUCGAGUGUAUUAUUAUGGAGAUAAUAAUUCACUAAAGGAGUUCUGACAUGUAUGACUCAUGGCCAGCUCGAUAUUGGGCCUAGAGGGUCACACACAUAUGGUAAGCAUUGCGAUGAGUAGAGGUUUAGAUAUGAUGUUGGAAAAUUCUUGGGGGCGACAUCACAUGCGCAGCGGAAGAAUAGUAAAACAAAAUCCUUAAUUUCUCAAAAAAUAUUCAUCGUCAUGCGAAGAUUGAUGCGCAAAAUUCGUGAAACUUAAAACCGCGUAUAAGAUAAAUUGUGUUACAUAAGGAGAUCGUAUAUCUCUAAAUCCCUACAUAUCUCUAGGAGAGGGUGAAGGAGAUCAAGUGCCCUCAUCUCUAGCGGUGAUCCACACAGUAGGGCUGCAACAAUGAUCCUCAAAACUCCAAGCAUGCUCUGAGGUGGAGAGGGGGAGGAGAAUAGGAGAGGCAAGCAAAAGACUCUAGCCUAUGAACCAUUGAUUUCCUCCUAUGUAAAGAGGUCCCCUAUCAACUUAACCCUAAUGGAUCCUCUCAUAUUGGGUAUUGGAUCUCCAUCCAACUACUAAAGCCUAUUAGAUUAAUAGAUCUCUAUCCAACAGUAUCUCAUGGGUGCUUAUUGGAUCUCGUUCAUAGGAUCUAAUAAUUCAGUGAUUUAUUAGAUAUUCAAUAAGAUAGGGGCUCCGACGGAUAUCUCAAAUCCGAACCUCUACUCAUCGCAAUACCUACCAUAUGUGUGUGACUCUAUAGGCCCAAUAUCGAGUUAGGAUGUGAGUCAUACCUAUCAAAACUCCUUCUGACUUAGUGAAUUAUUAUCUUUAUAAUAAUUCACUCGACUCAUCGACUACAGACAUACUAUGCCACUACGCCGUAGUCCCCAGACGAUACAAGGGAAUCUAAUCUAUUGGAUAUGUCUGUCCUUAGUUAUUGUGUAUCUAUAAUCCCUCAUCCAUCUAAUAUCACAAAGACCGUAUAUCAAACACGGUGCUGUCAGACCUAUAUGAUUUUUAUUCAAGUCUUGCUCUAAUUGGAUUCUCCCGGAGAACUCUUUCUCUUGCAAUCCGAAUGACCCCAGUUAGAGAUUUGCCUGAGUAAGAAUACAUGGGACAUUCCUCUCAUGACACCGAGAGUGGAUGAUCCUCUAUCGACACUCAAUAGCCCUCGUAAGGUUGACUGUCACUCCCGAUGACUAGUUGUGAUAGAUCUGGGACAUCCAAACAUAUAAGUCUGGUAUUAAAGAGUGGAGCACUCAUAUAGGACAUCCUUGGUGUCUCAAGUCUAAGGACCAGAUAUACCAUUGGGACUACGGAAUCACUAUCUGACAAUAAGGCAUCAUCAACUAUUCAGCAUUUCAUAAGCGAAUCAAUUAAUGAACUCAUUCCCUAAUGAGCACCUAUAUUAUAUCCCUAGUGUUCCCACAUGAGUAGCUAUGAGACCAACUACAUCCAUCAUAUGGACGAGUAUACAACACACCAGUAUGUUCAGUCAUCUUGAUGUCCCUCUCGAGUAACCUAUGACCGAGAUUAUUUAGGAUCUGUGUUUAAAGGCGAAUCGAUCUCAUUAUUAUGAUCUGAUCAUGAUCUGAUUCCCAUUGCAUAGAUCUAAGGACAUUACAAUAUAUACAUACAUAUAUGUAAUAGUUAAUAUAAAGUGAUAAUACCAAAAUAUAAUAAGUAAAAAGACUACGUGUCAAGUCACACGUGCCAUCACUCACGUGAUUGGCUUAUAGGGCAUAUAUAACUAGCAUACGAGAUAUCCGCCGGAGCCCAUAUCUUAUUGGAUAUCCAAUAAGCCCUUGAAUUAUUGGAUCCUAUGGAUAAGAUUUAAUAAGAGCCAAUGAGAGAUUAUUAGAUAGAGAUCCACUAAUCUAAGAGGUUUAGGUAGUUGGAUAGAGAUCCAAUACCCAAUAGGGCAGGAUCCAUUAGGGUUAAGUUGACAGGAGACCUCUAAAAAUAGGAGGGAACCAAUGGUUCAUAAGCUAGAACUUUUUAUGUUGCCUCUCCUAUUCUCCUCCCCUUCUCAUCCUCAGAUAACAAGCUUAGAGUUUUGAGGAGCAUCAACGCAGUCAUACUGUGUGGAUCAUCGCUAGAGAGGAUGACGCUUGACCUCCUUCACCCUCUCCUAGAGAUCUACAAGGAUUCAGGGAUAUACGAUCUCCUUAAGUAACACAAUCUUUCAUAUAUGUAGUUUUAAGGUUCACGAUUUUUAUGCAUCAAUCUUCACACGAUGACGACCAUGUAUUUGAGAAAUUAAAGAUUUUAUUUUUAAUGUUCUUCCGUUGUGCAUGUGAUGUCACCCCUAGAUUUCUCUACAUGUUUCUCAUUCUAACAUUACCAAAAUCACCUGUAGUAUAAGAUAUGAAGAAAUCACUAUAAGAAGUAAUAUGAAAUGAAACACCAUAGUCAAUUACUCAGUUAUUAUCCCGAGGUUUAAUCGACACAUCCGUCAUCACAAACAAUAACGAUAUCACCUUCAACAACAACUAUAUUAGUCUCUUUCUCUUUUUUCUUCAUUUCAUUCUGUUAUCGCUUCCAAAACUUACACUCUUUCUUUAUGUGAUUUGGCUUGUUACAAUGGAAAUACUUGAUAUCUCUUCUAGACUUAGAUCUUCCUCUAUAACUAUGUGGAUUUCUACUAUGACUUCUUCCACGUCUUUCUUAUUUUUAAAUAACAAGUGCACUAGAAGAAGAUUCUUUCUGAUCUUUCCUUCUGACAUAUUGAUUUAGCAAAUUAUCUUUGACCAUGUCUAUAGUUAGAGUCCCCUUGAGUGUGGAGUUACAAAUUAUCACAAAAUACGUUUCCCAACUUCUCGAUAAAGAGUUGAAAAGUAACAAUCCUUGCAUCUCAUUAUCUAUAUACAUUUUCAUAGCAGCCAACUUGUUUAUAAGACUCUAAAAUAAGUUUAUGUGCUCAAUAAUGUUACCAUCAUAUUUAUACUUCUAAUUGAUAAACCUUCUGAGGAGAGAAAUUUUAUUUCUCAUUGUCUUUUUUGUAAAGAAAUUUUCUAACCUGUGCCAAACAAUAUCAACUCUGCUUUCAUCAGAAAUAUGCUCAUGCAAAUUUACAUCCAUCAAUCUUCUAAUAUAGACAAUAGCUUUUCUAUAUUAAACCUCUCAUUCCUUGUCUUCCAUAGUAGAAGAUUUUUCUUUAAUUUUAAUGAGCUUAUAUAAAUCUUUAAAAUAGAACAAAUCUUCCAUCAUAUGUCUCCAAGUGGAAUAAUUUGAUGAGUUUAAUUUAAUCAUAUCAUCUAAUUUUUCUAUUUUAAUCACACAAGAAAAACAAGCACCAAAUAACCUAAUACUAUAAUACCAUUUAUUAGGAAAAACUAUUAUAGUGAAAUAAUUCUUUUCCCUCUUUGUGUAUCAAAAUGAGAUUCCUUACUAAAAUAUUAACUUAUUACCAAAAACAAAUAUUAACCCGAGCAACAUAAAUAAACAACAGAAUAAUGAAUCAAUCAUAAAGUGAGAUAUCAAAUUUUUAUUUAGAAAACUCAAUGCAAAAAACAUUAUGGGACCGUAGUACAUUUCAAACUUCCACUAUCACCAAUAAUGAUAACAUGUUUAUAAUAAGUCUUCUCCAAAAUAAUUAGAGAAUUACAAUAACAUCAACAAUAUAUAUGUUAGCUUAACAAUAAUAUAUCAUCAUCACCAUAGAUAGAUUUUAUGAAAGGAAAAUUUUAGAUCUUACAAGGUGGGUAUAACAGAGAAGUAACAAUCCUUGCAUCUCAUUAUAUAUAUAUAUAUAUAUAUAUAUAUAUAUAUAUAUAUAUAUAUAUAUAUAUAUAUAUAUAUAUNNNNNNNNNNNNNNNNNNNNNNNNNNNNNNNNNNNNNNNNNNNNNNNNNNNNNNNNNNNNNNNNNNNNNNNNNNNNNNNNNNNNNNNNNNNNNNNNNNNNNNNNNNNNNNNNNNNNNNNNNNNNNNNNNNNNNNNNNNNNNNNNNNNNNNNNNNNNNNNNNNNNNNNNNNNNNNNNNNNNNNNNNUAUAUAUAUAUAUAUAUAUAUAUAUAUAUAUAUAUAUAUAUAUAUAUAUUCAUAACAACUAACUUGUUUAUAAGACUCUGAAAUAAGUUUAUGUGCUCAAUAAUGUUAUCAUCAUAUUUAUACUUCUAAUUGAUAAACCUUCUGAGGAGAGAAAUUUUAUUUCUCGUUAUAUCUUUUGUAAAAAAAUUUUCUAACCUUUGCCCAAUAAUAUCAACUCUGGUUUCAUCAGAGAUAUGCUCAUGUAAAUUUACAUCCAUUAAUCUUCUAAUAUGGACAAUAGUUUUUCUAUGUUAAACCUCUCAUUCCUUGUCUUAAUAGUAGAAGAUUUUUCUUUAACUUUAAUGAGCUUAUAUAAAUAUUUACCAUAGAGCAAAUCUUCCAUCAUACAUCUCCAAGUGGAAUAAUUUAAUAAGUUUAAUUUAAUCAUAUCAUCUGACUUUUCUUUUUCAAUCACACAAGAAAAACAAGCACCAAAUAACCUAAUACUAUAAUACCAUUUAUUAGGAAAAAUUAUUAUAAUGGAAUAAUUCUUUUCCUAUAUUAAAAUAAGAUUCCUCACUAAAAUAUCAACUUAUUAUCAAAAACAAAUAUUAACCAGAGCAACAUAAAUAAAUAGUAGAACAAUGAAUCAAUUAUAAAGUGAGAUAUCAAAUUUUUAUUUGGAAAACUCAAUACAAAAAAAAUCAUGAGAUCGUAGUAUAUUUCAAACUUCCACUAUCACUAAUAAUGAUAAUAUGUUUAUAAUAAGUCUUCUCCAAAAUAAUUAGAGGAUUAUAAUAACAUCAACAACAUAUAUAUUGGCUUAACAAUAAUAUAUCAUCAUCACCAUAGAUUUCAUGAAAGGAAAAUUUUAGACCUUACAAGGUGGGUAUAACAGAAAAGUAUCUCAGAGAGGAUAAACUAUAGAUCAGUACUAUUAAGAUUGUAAAGCUUAUUGCAAUAAUUCUUGGUAUAAAAUUUAAGUUAAAAUUGAUCAAAUUUAAUUACUUGAUUAUGUAGCAAAAGCCUCAAAUCUUAACUUUAUCUCUUCGUUUCUCUCUAUGUUCUUCUCUACAUGGCCACGGUUUCACCACACGCCUCUUCUCGUUGCACACCCAUCGCUGUGUAGGUCUCUUCUAUUUUCUUUUCUUUUUUAAUACAUUAGAUUUGGGCUCAAUAGUCAAAUCAAUCGGUCCAAGUUUACCUAUGAGCUUGACCCAACAAGUAUGAAGUUUGUUCACUCGUAUGUAUGCCGUUUUCUAUUGACUCUAUCGAAGGGUGACAUGUUGUCUUGAUAAUGAUGAUGUAUUGAUCGAAGGGGCCAAGUAAUCGAUAACCAUCCACGUAUCAUAAUUUCUGUAUAAUAAAGUAUGCAAAAUAUAUCAUACAUGAGAUGCAAGAGAAUUUAUUAGCAAUUGAUAUAAGAUCACCGUAAUCCUUAAUUGUCUACAUGUAGGAAGAAUCAUAAUAGGAAAAUAUAAAUUUUAUUCUUAUUUAUUAUGAUAAAAAAGAAGAAUGUAAAUUUUUUUUAUCUCCUUUUAUUAUAAAAUAGAUAAUCCUAAAUUAUCUUUUCUUUAUUUAUGAUAAAAGAGGAUAAUCAUAAAUUUUUUCUCUCAUAAAAUAUUAAUAAUAUUUUAUGAAGAUAUGAGAAGUUUAAUAUUUUUAUGUAUAUAGGUAAUCACGUGAGAUUGAUUAAAAUAUUAAUAAUAUUUUUCUCUAACAUAAGAGAAAUUAAUCUCUACAUAUCAGUUCUUUUUCACCAUUGCUUUGACAGCUUUUUCAAUCCCCCCUACAAUAAAUAAAGGAUGCACGUCUUAUAUAAGUCAAAUUAACGUUUAGGUAGUGAUGGAAGGGCACAAGAAGGCGAGUCAAUAGUGUUCUCUCUUGUCAUCAUCUCUUCUCAUCUACUAAUUAUAAUAAAAAAAAUCUUUUUUUUUAAAUUUUUUCUCUACAUACAAACAUCAUCAUUUUUUAGAAUAUUUUACCUAAUAUCUGAAAUACUAUUUUUUCCUUCAUUUUUCUAUAAAUUGUCCAAUUCAAGUGUUUUUAUAUUACAUUAUAGUAUUUUCAAUAAUACUAGAAAAAUAUUAUAAUACAGUAUAAAAUAAAUACUAUAUGAAAAUAUUUUAUAUUUAUAAUAUUUUUAAUAAUAAUAUUAGAAAAUUUAUUUUUUAACAAUAUAUUAUAUUUUUUUAAUAUAUUAUAGUAUUUUUGGUACUGUUGAAAAUACUAUAAUACAGUGAAAAAUAUUAUAAGAAAAAUAAGAAAAAACAUGAUGGGUGACUUGGGGUUAUUUCAAAUAUUACGUAAAAGACUAGGUGUCGUUUUGAUUUUUUUUUUGGGAAUUCUAAAAAUGAGGGGUGCGAAAAACCAUUAUUUUUUAGUAGGUUUUAUAGUAUUUUUGUUACUAUGAUCAAAAUACUGCAACAGAUUAAAAUAUUAUAAUACAUACAAUUUUUUUUUAAGAAUAGUUUAAUUUUUUUAAAUUAAAAAUAAUUAUUUAAAAAUAAAGAGAAAAUAUCUGAAUAUAUUUUUGUAAAGUAAAGUAGAAUCGCACAUUAAAUGUAUCUAAAAUGUUUCGAGAAUAAAGUCAAAAUGGUGAGUUCGAAGAAGGAAGAAGAUGACAAUGAUGAUUGUGAUAACAUAGUAAAAGUAGUCCAUUGAUGUGAUGAGUCGGAAUUAUGUUAUCAAUGCCAUGCUGCAUUACAAAAGUGGAGACUUGCAAUCUCUUCUUCCUCCUCUCCUCGUACCAAUUGUGUUCAUGGCUCCACGACUCCACAUCUUCUUCUUUCCUCUCAUGGCCGCAGGCCACAUCAUCCCUACAGAUCUACAAAGAUUCAAGGAUAUACGAUAUCCUUAAGUAACAUAAUCUUUCAUAUAUAUAGUUUUAAGUUUUAUAAUUUUUAUGCACCAAUCUUCACACGAUGACGACCACAUAUUUAGAAAAUUGGAGAUUUUGUUUUUAAUGUUCUUCCGAUGCACAUGUGAUGUCGCCCCUAGAUUUCCCUACAUGUUUUCCAUUCUAACAUUACCAAAAUCACCUGUAGUGUAAGAUAUGAAUAAAUUACUAUAAGAAGUAAUAUGAAAUGAAACACCAUAGUCAAUUACCCAAUUAUUGUCCCGACCUUUGAUUGACACAUCCGUCAUCACAAACAAUAACGAUAUCACCUUCAACAAAAACUAUAUUAGUCUCUUUCUUUUUUUUCUUCCUUUUAUUAUGUUCUCGUUUCCAAAACCAAUACUCUUUCUUCAUGUGACUUGGCCUAUUACAAUGGAAACACUUGAUAUCUCUUCUAGACUUAGAUCUUCCUGUAUAACUAUGUAGAUUUCUAAUAUAACUUCUUCCACAUCUUUCUUAUUUUUCAAUAACAAGUAUACAAGAAGAAGAUUCUUUUUGGUAUAUUGAUUUAGCAAAUUAUCUUUGAUCAUAUCUAUAGUUAGAGUCCUCUCAGGUGUGGAGUUACAAAUUAUCAUAAAAUACGUUUCCCAACUUCUCGAUAAAGAGUUGAGAAGUAACAAUCCUUGCAUCUCAUUAUAUAUAUAUAUUUAUAUAUUUUCAUAACAACUAAUUUGUUUAUAAGACUCUGAAAUAAGUUUAUGUGCUCAAUAAUAUUAUCAUCAUAUUUAUACUUCUAAUUGAUAAACCUUAUGAGGAGAUAAAUUUUAUUUCUCUUUGUCUUUUUUGCAAAGAAAUUUUCUAACCUUUGCCAAACAAUAUCAACUCUGGUUUCAUCAGAAAUAUGCUCAUGCAAAUUUACAUCCAUCAAUCUUCUAAUAUAGACAAUAGCUUUUCUAUGUUAAACCUCUCAUUCCUUGUCUUUCGUAGUAGAAGAUUUUUCUUUAACUUUAAUGAGCUUAUAUAAAUAUUUACAAUAGAGCAAAUCUUCCAUCAUACAUCUCCAAGUGGAAUAAUUUAAUGAGUUUAAUUUAAUCAUAUUAUCCGACUUUUCUUUUUUAAUCACACAAAAAAAACAAGCACCAAAUAACCUAAUACUAUAAUAUCAUUUAUUGGAAAAAAUUAUUAUAAUGGAAUAAUUCUUUUCCUAUAUUAAAAUGAGAUUCCUCACUAAAAUAUCAACUUAUUAUCAAAAAUAAAUAUUAACCAGAGCAACAUAAAUAAAUAGUAGAACAAUGAAUCAAUCAUAAAGUGAGAUAUCAAAUUUUUAUUUGGAAAACUCAAUACAAAAAAAAUCAUGAGACCGUAGUAUAAUUCAAACUUCCACUAUCACCAAUAAUGAUAAUAUGUUUAUAAUAAGUCUUAUCCAAAAUAGUUAGAGGAUUAUAAUAACAUCAACAACAUAUAUAUUGGCUUAACAAUAAUAUAUCAUCAUCACCAUAGAUUUAAUGAAAGGAAAAUUUUAGACCUUACAAGGUGGGUAUAACAGAAAAGUAUCUCAAAGAGGAUAAACUAUAGAUCAAUACAAUUACGAUUGUAAAGCUUAUUGUAAUAAUUCUUCGUAUAAAAUUUAAGUUAAAAUUGAUAAAAUUUAAUCACUUGAUUAUGUAGCAAAAGCCUCAAAUCUUAACUUUAUCUCUUUGUUUCUCUCUAUGUUCUUUUCGACAUGGCCAUGGUUUCACCACACGCCUCUUCUCGUUGCACACCCCCGCUGUGUAGGUCUCUUUUGUUUUCUUUUCUCUUUUAAUACAUUAGAUUUGGGUUCAAUAGUCAAAUCAAUCGGUCCAAGCUUACCUAUGAGCUUGAGCCAAUAAGUAUGAAGUUUGUUCACUCGUAUGUAUGCCGUUUUCUAUUGACUCUAUCGAAGGGUGACAUGUUGUCUUGAUAAUGAUGAUGUAUUGAUCGAAGGGGCCAAGUAAUCAAUAACCAUCCACGUAUCAUAAUUUCUGUAUAAUAAAGUAUACAAAACAUAUCAUAUAUUAGGUGCAAGAGAAUUUAUUAGCAAUUGAUAUAAGAUCACCGUAAUCCUUAAUUGUCUAUAUGUAGGAAGAAUCAUAAUAGGGAAAUGUAAAUUUUAUUCUUAUUUAUUAUGAUAAAAAAGAAGAAUGUAAAUUUUUUUUAUCUCCUUUUAUGAUAAAAUAGAUAAUCCUAAAUUAUCUUUUCUUUAUUUAUGAUAAAUAGAGGAUAAUCAUAAUUUUUUUCUCUCAUAAAAAUAUAUACUAAACAAGGAAAAAGAUAACACUUCGAAGAUAACUUGAAUGUUGAAGGGAUCGAUGACAUAUGAGAAGUUUAAUAUUUUUAUGUAUACAGGUAAUCACGUGAGAUUGAUUAAAAUAUUAAUAAUAUUUUUCUCUAACAUAAGAGAAAUUAAUCUCUACGUAUCAGUUCUUUUUCACCAUUGCUUUGAUAGCUUUUGCAAUCCCCCUACAAUAAAUAAAGGAUGCACGUUUUAUGUGAGUCAAAUUAACGUUUAGGUAGUGAUGGAAGGGCACAAGAAUCCUAGUCAAUAGUGUUCUCUUGUCAUCAUCUCUUCUCAUCGACUAAUUAUAAUAAAAGAAAUCUUUUUUUUAAAUUUUUUCUCUACAUACAAACAUCAUCAUUUUUUAGAAUAUUUUACCUAAUAUCUGAAAUACUAUUUUUUCCUUCAUUUUUUCUAUAAAUUGUCCAAUUCAAGUGUUUUUAUAUUACAUUAUAGUAUUUUCAAUAAUACUAGAAAAAUAUUAUAAUACAGUAUAAAAUAAAUACUAUAUGAAAAUAUUUUAUAUUUAUAAUAUUUUUUAACAAUAAUAUUAUAAAAUUUAUUUUUUAACAAUAUAAUAUAUUAUAGUAUUUUUUGGUACUGUUGAAAAUACUAUAAUACAGUGAAAAAUAUUAUAAGAAAAAUAAGAAAAAACAUGAUGGGUGACUUGGGGUUAUUUCAAAUAUUAUGUAAAAGACUAGGCGUCGUUUUGAUUUUUUUUUUUGGGAAUUCUAAAAAUGAGGGGUGCGAAAAAUCAUUAUUUUUUAGUAGGUUUUAUAGUAUUUUUGUUACUAUGAUCAAAAUACUGCAACAGAUUAAAAAUAUUAUAAUACAUACACUUUUUUUUUGAAGAACAGUUUAAUUUUUUUAAAUUAUAAAUCAUUAUUUAAAAAUAAAAGAGAAAAUAUCUGAAUAUUUUUUUGGAAAGUAAAGUAGAAUCGCACAUUAAAUGUAUCUAAAAUGUUUCGAGAAUAAAGUCAAAAUGGUGAGUUCGAAGAAGGAAGAAGAUGACAAUGAUGAUUGUGACAAGAGAGUAAAAGUAGUCCUUUGAUGUGAUGAGUCGGAAUUAUGUUAUCAAUGCCAUGCUGCAUUACCAAAGUGGAGACUUGCAAUCUCUUCUUCCUCCUCUCCUCAUACCAAUUGUGUUGAUGGCUCCACGACUCCACAUCUUCUUCUUCCCUCUCAUGGCCGCAGGCCACAUCAUCCCCAUGGUGGACAUCGCCAGGCUCUUCGUCGGUCGCGGCGUCAAGGCCACUUUGCUUGCGCCCGCUCCUAAACCGCCCCUGCUCGAUCACUGCGUCAAGAAGGCUUGCGACCUCGGCCAACAUAUUGACCUCCUCCUGCUUCCUCUCCCACCAUCUCCCACUGGCUCGCCGGAGCGCCCGACCUUCCUCACCUCCCCGGCAAUGUCGCUCGAGUUCUUCAGAGCCCUGGAGCAUCUCCGCGAACCGCUCGAACGAGCUCUCAGAGAACACCGGCCGAACUGCAUCAUCUCCGACAUGUUCUUGCCGUGGACAGCUGACGCCGCUCGCCGGCUCGGCAUACCGAGGCUCGUCUUCCACGGCAUGGGCUUCUUUCCUCUCUGUGUGCUGGAUAGCUUGGAUCGACACCUGACCGGGAGCAACACGAGGUUCGGUGACAGCGAUGUCGUGGUGGUGCCCGGCCUCCCGCAUCCAGUGUCGAUGAAGAGAUCGCAGCUGCAUGACUCGGUCGAAACGAGGAAUGAUUUCAGCGCGUUCAUGGAGAGGAUCACGGAGUCUGAGAUUGGAAGCCACGGGGCGGUGGUCAAUAGCUUCUUCGAGAUGGAAGCCGACUACGUUGACCACUACCGGGAUGUGAUGGGAAGGAAGGCGUGGCACAUCGGACCAGUGUCUCUGUGGAACAGAGACGCCGACGAGCUCGCGGAGAGAGGAGGAGCACCGGACAACUACAGAAGCAUUCUCACUUGGUUGGAUUCGAAGCCUUCCAAUUCGGUGGUUUACGUCUGUUUCGGGAGCCUGUGCCACCUGACGGCGGCUCAGCUGCAUCAGCUGGGAUUUGGAUUGGAGGCCUCCAGCCAUGGCUUCAUCUGGGCGAUCAACGGCGACGAGCAACACCUCGGGGGAAGGCAGGAGAAGGUCGAAGAACGAGGGAAGGGAUUGAUGGUACGAGGAUGGGGGCCGCAGCGGCCGAUACUGAACCACCGGGCAGUGGGGGCGUUCAUUACGCACUGCGGGUGGAACUCGGUGGUGGAGGCCGUGAGCGCCGGCGUGCCGAUGAUCACCUGGCCCAUGUUCGCGGAGCAGUUCUACAACGAGAAGCUGGUCGUCCAGGUGCUGCGGAUCGGGGUGAGCGUCGGGCCGGGGGUGUGGGGGAUGGAGCAGGAGAAGAAGCCGGUGGUGGGCGGAGCCGCGAUCGCAGCAGCGGUGGCGCAGCUGAUGGACGGCGGGGGGGAGGCCGAGGAGGGCAUGAGGAAGAGAGCCGCUGUGCUGAAGCAGAAGGCGAGGGACGCCGUGGGCGUUGGCGGCUCAUCCAAUCUCGAAAUGGAUCGACUGAUACAUGAGCUUUCAGUUAGCGAGAGCGAUGCCACCGAAUGAUGGCUGGUCGCCCCCAUCCCUUAUGCCCUUUUAUCUGCAAACGGUUCAACAGAAGAGCUCUUCUUCCAUGGAGGUCAUGGCGGCAAGUCAACCAUGUAUGUGCUUCUACUUCACUUUUCUUUGUGCUGUCAUUGGAAUAAGCUAAUCGAUAUUAUUUGUUUUAUAAAUAAUGAUAAAAUUUAUUAUUAUUAUUAUUUUAAAAGUUUUGAUAUGGAAUAUGUUAAUCAUUUUAAGUAAUUUUAUUUUAAAAAAUAUUUUAGAUAUAGAUGGGUUCUUUUAAGUUUCCUCUUUUUAGUUCUAUUUAAAGAUAUCAUCAAUGAAAUAAUUUUUAGAUGUUUUUUUUUUUCUCUCACCUUAUUCUCUUUCUAGUUAACAACAAUUGGUACAAAGCUACAGAUAGAUGUGGAGAGUCAAAAGAGUAGAAGAAUACAAAUUUAGAGGCCUAAAAAGUCAAAGAUCUUUAAAACAUUAGACAUUUAGAUGCAUGGAUCCAAAAGGUCAAUGAUCUAUAAUAGUGAGAGGUCGAAAGUAGAUUGAAGUCGUAGCUUUUCUUUCUUCUAUUAGCUUUUGUAUUGUCUUGUCGUAGCAUAUAUCAAUGAUCCUUUGAUUUUAGUGGUCCAUUAGAAUAUACCGAUUGAUAACUUUACGAAGUCCAUUAGAGUACCUAAACAAGCACCAAGGGAUAAUAUCGACUAAUGCAUAAAAGACAAAAGAGCUAUCUUGGAAAUAAUUGGAUACAUCCGAGCAGAUAUGGGAUCUAUCAAGUAAGUGCAGCUUCAAGCACUUGGCACUAACUUUGAAAACCUACGCAUGGAAUCAAGUGAAUAAAUUUUUUUUUGAUUAUUUUUCAAGGAUGGUGAUAAGAUAAGAUGGAGGAUGUUGCUAUCUAUCAUAGAGAAAGUCGAUUGGACGGGGGGCAGUGACACCAAAACUUAAUAAUUUUAUUAUCUCUCCUAUUGAAGAAUCUAAAGAUAUUGAUGAACUUAUUAAUUGAUGAGUUAUAAAGUUUUUUUUAUUUGUUCACCAACAAAAAAAAAAAAAAUCCGAUAAGAUAAUAAAAUCUAUCAACACAAGGGACAAAAACAAGGGAAAUGUGAAGAUUCAAUCCGAGAAAUAUUCAAUUCAAACUAUUUUUAAUAUUUUUAUUUAUUCUAGAUUUGAAAACUAAUUUGCUUAGUGUUAUACAGCUUCAAGAGAAAGGCUAUGAGAUCAUUACUAAGAUAGGAGUUUACCGAAUUUAAUAUUCAUAUAGUUCCUUUAUCUCUCAAUAAUAUUUCUCACCCUUGUCUAAAGACAAAAUUAAAGAAUAUGACAUGGUUACGAUACUUAAGAUUUGGACAUUAAAAUUUUAGUGGAUUAACAACUUUAUAAAAGAAAAUUUGGUAAGAAUGUGUUGUCGGCAAACAAUAUCAUGAAUAGUUUCCCAAGGCAAAAUCAUAGAGAGUAAAAAGAGGUAUUAGGGUUGGUUACUCCAUUCUAUAAAUCCAACAUCUAAUGGAGGUGAAAGAUACCUCAUUAAGUCGGAAACUAUGAGUAUAUUUCUUGUAGGAAAAGUAUGAGACAUUCUUAGCAUUUAAGAACUACAAAAACAUAUUGAAAAAAAGGUUGGAAGGCCUAUAAAGAUUCUUUGCACUGAUGGUGGUGGUGGAGACCACAACUCAUACGAAAUUGUAAAUUUUUGUGAGGUGCAUGCAAUCUAAGAGCCAACUUACAAUAGCUUAUAUACCUCAUAAGAACAGUUAUAGUGCAGAGCUUACUAAAAAUAAGUUCAAUUCCAAAUAAUUUUCAAUCUAAGGUAGUUAAUUGGAGUAUUCUUAGGACAUCUGUUCAAAAUAUAACUCAUGAAAAGCAUUGAUAGAAUGUGAACCGAUAACAUAUGAGAUUUCCCUAACUACGUAGCAGAUGAUAUUUUUCUAAUUGUACGAGAAAAUCUCGCUACUCAAUUGAGAAAAAUCCUCUAUUUCAAUAUGUAUAAAUAGAUACCGUAUCAAACUAAUUGAAGCGUAUUUUUUUCCUUUACACUUCAUUCUUCAUUUUACCAUGGUAUUAGAACAGUGAAAAGAGCGAGAAAGGGUUGCCGUAGCCACAUUCCUGAGCGAGGCUUUGCCCCUACUUCUGGCCAGCGACCAUCGCCGCCGUCGCUAUUUCCCGACCAGCACCCCCCCUCGUUACGCUACAACCGCCCUCCAACCGCUCAUGCCCCAUCCUGCUCGAGCGAGAAAGGGGCUCCUCAUCCCACCUUCCACCGUAGUCAUCCUUAGCCGAGCCUUCGCUGGAGACGAUGUUGCCAGCGUCCCGUCCCGUCGUAGCCCGAGUCCCCUUGAGUUGAGCGGCUGCGGUUGCGACCAAUCCAAGAACUUGGCGGACAUCUUCUCCUUGAUGUCUCGUAUUAGCUCGAUCACUUCCAUCGGCGAGGAACCAACGAUGGUCAUCUGGAUUCCCAUGGGGUACACGUAGUUGCCAUUGAAGCCUUCCUGCGACAGCAGCUGGUGCAUAAGGUGGCGGGUGUUGCCGCCUUUCCAAUCACCGAACUAAACUAAACGCUGCGAUCUGCACCGAUUGCAGCCAACCCUUCUCACUAGCAACGAGCGAAUAGUUGCAGCCCUCUGCCAUUACUCUCUGAACUGUAUCGAUUGCAGUUCUUCAAUGACGAUCCUCCAGGAAUGGACUCCCUGACUUCACCCUUGAUCCGACAUACGCGGCUUGUCUGAGGAGCUGCUGGUCACACUCCGGUGGUGAACAUAACCUUUUCCCCAUGCUCUCUUCUUCUUGCUCGUUGUUGUAGAUUCCUAAUCACUACCACGCUACCAGGAGUAGCCAUCCUUGCUAAGCGUUGUUGGGCCCAGUCUGCACUGCAACAGCGCCCGAGGUGUGGCCUUUGGCGAAGUUGCACCGAGGUGAGUGUAGCUCCGCUGCAUCUUGCUCCACCUCGCACAACACACUUUGGAAGAGCUCAACAUCGCAAGGGAGCUCGAGCGGCCUAGCGACGGUAUACCCGACGAGCAACAUCCGAAACCACUCCCACUCCCUUGCUACCCAUCACUGUGUCGCUGCUAAGCAAAGUACACUAGUGAUCUUUGACGAUGAAGCACGUAGCAAUACUCUUCACGUUCUUCACCGCCCAAAUCCCCAAUCGCAGAAUUGCUACACAGAGAUCUGCAGCUUUACUUAAUAUUACACAGAGCUAAACUACAUACUUCACUACAGACUUCCACUUUGCUCCCUUGUAUUGAUACAUAUCUUUCACAUGUUCUCAUCAUCUACCACUGAUGCUCUAGUUACUGUUCCCAUAGAGAAUCAUAGUACUAUUCUAUAUACAUGCCUUAUCUCCAUCAAUACAGUAACCCUCAUCCCCUUUAAGUUAUCCAAAGGUGACAACUAAAGUACUCAAUUAUCUAAUCUCCUAUUUAGCUACAAUUUACUAGGCUAUGUCGAUGACUCUCUUCGUUGUCCACUAGCGAUGCUCAACAUCCCAGGAGCACCCAAUCCAGUGCUAGUCAUAGGUAUCCUGCAAGCCAAUUACGUGAGUGAUGGCAUGUGUGACUUGACACACAAUUUUUUUGUUUAUAUUUUGACAUUUUAUCACUUCAUAUUACCUGUUGCUCGAAUAUAUUAUAAUGUCUAUGGAUCUAUACAAUGAGAAUUGAAUCAUAAUGAGAUCACGAUAAUGAGACCGAUUCACUUUAAAACACAGAACCUAAAUAAUUCCGGUCAUAGGUUACUCGAGAGGGACAUCGAGAAAACUAGAUAGACUGGUGUGCUGUAUACCUGUCCAUAUGAUGGACGCAGUUGGUCUCAUAACUGCUCGUGUGAGGACACUAGAGAUACAAUACAUGUGCUCAUUGGAGAAUGAGUUCACUAAUUGAUCCGCUUACGGAAUGCUGGAUGAUUGAUGAUGCCUUAUUGUUAGACAACGAUUCUAUAGUCCCAGUGGUAUAUCUGGUCUUUAGACUUGAGACACCAAGGAUGUCCUAUAUGAGUACUCCAUUCUUUGAUACCAGACUUAUAGGUCUGGAGGUUCCAGAUCUAGCACAACCGGUCAUUGGGAGUGGUAGCCAACCUUACGAUGACUAUUGAGUAUCGAUAGAGGAUCAUCCACUUUCAGUAUCAUGAGAGAAAUAUCUAAUGUGUUCUUGCUCAAACAAACCCCUAGUGUCAUUCAGAUUGAGAGAGAAAGAGUUCUCUGGGAGACUCCGAUUAGAGCGAUUAGAAACCAUAUGGGUUUGACAAUACCAUGCCCGAUAUAUGGUCUUUGGGAUAUUAGAUGGAUGAGAGCCUAUAGGUAUAUGGUAAUUGAGGACAGAUAGGUCUAAUGGAUUGGAUUCCCCUAUAUCGUUUGGGGACUACGGCGUAGUGGCCUAGUACGUUCGUAGUUGAUGAGUCGAGUGAAUUAUUAUGAAGAUAAUAAUUCACCGUGUAAGAAGAAGUUCUGAUAGGUAUGACUCACUCCGAGCUCGAUAUUGGGCCUAAAGGGUCAUACACAUAUGACAGGCAUUGCGAUAAGUAGAGGUUCAGAUAUGAGAUAUCCGCUAGAGCAACUAUCUUAUUGGAUAUCCAAUAAACCCCAUGAAUUAUAAGAUCCUAUGGAUGUGAUCCAAUAAUAGCCCAUAAGAGAUUAUUGGAUAGAGAUCCACUAAUCUAAGAGGCUUGGGUAGUUGGAUGGAGAUCUAAUACCCAAUAGGAUAGGAUCCAUUAGGGUUAAGUUGACAGGGGACCUCUAUAAAUAUAAGGGAAUCAGUGGUUUAUAGGCUAUAGCUUUUUGGUUGCCUCUCCUAUUCUCCUCCCCCUCUCCACCUUAGAUAGCAGGCUUGAAGUUUUAAGGAGCAUUGUUGUAGCCCUGUUGUAUGAAUCACCAUUAGAGAGGAGGGCACUUGACCUCCUUCACUAUCUCAUAGAGAUCUGUAGGGAUUCAGGGAUAUACGAUCUCCCUAGAUAACAUAAUCUUUAAUAUACACAGUUUUCUAUUUCGUUAAUUUUGCAUACCAAUCUUCGCACGACGAUGAACAUAUCUUUGAAAAAUUGGGGAUUUUAUUUUCUAUUCUUCUACUGCGCAUGUGAUGUCGCCCCCAAAGAUUUCCUAAAAUUCAGUACUAAAUCCGGACCACAAACUAUGGUUACGCCAGGAUAAUCUCAUCCUCCAAGCAAUUUAAGCAUCGAUCGCUAGAUCCAUCGCCCCACUCAUAUCUUUGUGACACUAUUGUCGAAGCUUGGUGCAAGUUGUAAACUACCUUGGCAAAUCGUUCAAGUGCUCACAUGCUUAGUCUCCUAUCUAGUCUCAUGAAAACAAAACAAGAGGGAAUUACUAUUAUCAAUUAUCUACAAAAUAUAAAAAUUAUCAUCGAUAACUUGGCCUUGAUAGGUCAUUCUCUCAGUGAUGAAGAAGUCACUGUCCAUACCUUCAACGACCUAGGGGAUGAGUACAAAGAACUAUCAGCAGCAAUACAAGCACGUGAGUCAUUAGUGUCAUUCGAAGAACUGUAUGAUAAGCUGACUAAUUUUGAGAUAUAUCUAAAGCGUGAGGACAAAUUGCCAGGGCCAUCUAUCACAGCUCAAGUUAGUCAAAAAUCCAUGAGGAAGAGCAAUCAGUAUAAUAAGACUAUAAACAAAGGUUUGAGCAAGAUGCCUCCUAAACUUAUGAGCUCCAAACAAACCAUCCCUCCUCCAUAUUAUUAACAUUUCAAUCAUAACUACUAAGGUAGCUACUUCAAUCAUCAGUAAUCUUAGCGCCCUAACCAUAUAAACCAACAAAGAGUUAUCUGCCAAUUGUGUGAUAAAAUCGGCCACUUUGCAAAGCUCUAUCGAUCUCGACCCAGACUUUCUGCUCAAUCACAUUGGCCUCAAGCUAAUCUCACGACUACUCCAAACACUAGUGAUCAUAAUUGGAUUGUGGACUCUAACACAUCUUAUCACAUUACUUCUGAUCUACAAAACUUGUCCAUCCACAACAACUAUAGUGGAAAUUAUGACAUCAUCAUCGGUGACGGUAAAGGAAUCCCUAUUACUUAUAUUGGUUCCAUAAUACUUAAUUCACCUACCAUAACUUUUACACUCGAUGAUGUUCUGUGUGCACAUCACAUUAAACGAAAUUUUAUUUCUAUUUUUUUUUUAAUUUUAUAAAUAAAAUAAUACCUUAAUUAAAUUUUUUUCCUAACUCUUUUCUUAUCAAAGAUUUGAGCACGAGCGCAUCCUUGGUCCGAGGCCAGAGAAAGGACAAUGUUUAUGAAUGACCAUUAGUUCCAUAAAUAAAACAACCUACUAUUUACUUUUUAGUUGCAACUCCAAUUGAUGUGUGGCAUUGUCGUCUUGGUCAUCCCUCACCCUCUAUUUAACAUAAAUUACUUUCUCGUUAUUCUUUUCAUACUCUUAAAAAUAAUAGCAUUAUAGCUCAUUGUGAUGCUUGUCUCAAUAAUAAAAGUCAUAGACUCCCUUUUGGCAUAUCCUCUAUAUCCUGUUCUAAAUAAUUUGAAAUUAUUUAUACUGAUGUUUGGGGCCCUACCCUAAUCACUUCUUUUGACAAGUUUAGAUUUUAUAUCAUUUUCGUAGACUAUUUCACUAGGUACUCAUGGAUAUACCCUCUCCAUCAUAAAUAUGAAGUUUUAAUAAUUUUCAUCAACUUUAAAAAGUUGGUCGAAAAAUUCUUUCAAUCUACAAUUAAAACAGUUUACUUUGGUGGCAGAGGUGAAUAUCAAGCCCUCACAUCCUACCUCUUAACCUGUGGCAUCCAACACCUUAAGUCACCCCUACAUACUUCUCAACUAGUUGGCUCUGUUGAAUGCAAACAUCGACAUAUAGUUGAAAAUAGUUUUAUACUUCUAUAUCAAGCCUCCAUGCUAGUAACCUUUUGAUUUGUAGCCUUUUAAACUACUGUCUACCUUAUUAAUCGUAUGCUUACUCUAAUCCUCCAAUACUAGUCACAAUUUGAAAAAUUAUUUUUCAAAUCCUCAAACCUUUAAAAACUCAAAGUAUUUUGUUGUUUAUGUUAUCCAUGGCUAUGUCCCUAUGCCUCACACAAGAUAACACCAAGAUCUAAACCUUACAUUUUCAUAGGAUACUCUCUUGAACAUAAUACAUUUCGAUGCUACGAACCCAAAUCUCAAAAAAUCUUUAUAUCACAUCAAGUUAUUUUUUGUGGAGUCUACCUUUCCGUUUUAAAACCAUGAGUCUCUUACCAUGAAAGCUAUUCCAACAAAUAUAUAUCACUAGAGUAUACUGUUGAUCCUCUCAAACGAGUCUCUCACCACACCAUUCAAUCCUUUUCCUAAGGAUCCACAUUCUCUUAUUCUCCUGAUUCAGUAGCUCCUUACUCUCUCCAUUGCUUCUCUCCCUUCUUCACAAGCUUCACCUACUACUGAAGUAAUAUCCUCAGAAACAUAACCAUCUUCUUAAUCCUCUUUUGGACCUAGUGACACCGAUAUACGUCAGCCUACCUCGACCCGUGUCAAUGCCUCUCCACCACCCAUACCAAUAACUCAGCCUACAGCUCUUAGACAUCUAAUGAUAACAUGCUCAAAAAGUGGUAUUUUUAAACCACGUAAGGUUCUCGACCUACAUGCUAUCAUAAAAUCCUCUCCUGAGACUAGUGAACCUACCACAAUUAUUCAAGCCCAAAAAUCUCCACACUGGCAUAAAGCCAUGUAUGAAGAAUAUGAUGUCCUGCUCCAUAACUUUACAUGGACCCUUGUACCUUUUCAUCCUACACAAAACAUCAUCGGGUGUAAAUGAGUCUUUUGAAUUAAGCGGAACCCAGACAAGUCCGUUACUAGAUAUAAAACAUGUCUAGUAGCUAAAGGGUUUCAUCAAUGACUUGGAGUUGACUUCAAAGAGACUUUUAGUCUUAUUGUUAAAUCUAUAAUAAUUCGGCUUAUCCUAAGUUUAGCCAUCUCAAAAGGCUGGCACUUACGAUAAUUGGACGUUAAUAAUGGCUUUCUACAAGGGACUCUAACUGAAAAUGUCUUUAUGCAACAACCCCAUGACUUCGUUCAUCAUAAGUAUCCAAGAAUGUUUGCAAACUAUAAAAAGCCAUUUAUGAACUCCGUUAAGCUCCAAGAGCUUGGUAUACUGAACUUGGAUCGUUUUUGAUAUCAAUAGGUUUUAUCAACUCCAAGUUUGAUACCUCAUUAUUCCUAUGACAAUAAAAUGGAAACACAAUAUAUCUUCUAGUAUAUGUGGACAAUAUCAUAGGCAAUGAUCCCUUGAAGAUUUAGGCAUUUCUAAAGCAAUUGGCUGAUCGGUUCUCCCUCAAAGAUCUAGGACCCUUGAGUUACUUUUUUAGAGUGGAAGCAACAUUUACAUCCUCAUGUUUUCUCCUAUCAUAAAGUAAGUACAUUCAAGACUUAUUAUCAAAGACAAAUAUGCAAGAUGCAAAAGAGGUUGCAACUCCCCUCUCUACUAGUGAAUCACUCAAAUUAUGUGAUAGCAUCCCUACUACAGACUCAACUCAAUAUCGAUAAGUACUUAGAUCCUUACAGUACUUGACUCUCACCCGUUCCGAUAUCUCAUUUGCGCUCAAUAAAUUAUUUUAAUACAUGCACCAGUCUUCUACUAUGCAUUGUUCUAUGAUUAAAUAAAUUUUACGGUAUCUUAAAGAGACCCUCAAUCAUGGUCUCUUUCUCCGCAAACACAUCCCACUUCAUCUCCAUGCCUUUGCUGAUGCUGAUUAGACAAAAAACUUUUAUGAUAGAACAUUUAUGUCAGGGUAUAUUAUCUUUUUUGGAUCUAAUUUAAUUAGUUGGAGUUCUAAGAAGCAUAGACAGUCGCACAGUUUACAACUGAAGCUGAAUAUCAUAUCAUCGCUACCGCUGCUGCUGAACUCAAUUGGAUUACAAAUCUCCUCAAGGAACUCAACAUCAGUUCUACCCUUACUUCUACAAUAUAUUGUGACAACGUUGGAGCUACAUAUUUAUGUGUCAAUCUAGUGUUCCACUCACGUAUGAAACACAUUGCCAUCGACUUUCACUUCGUACGAGAUCAAGUUGUCAGAUAUCAGCUACGUGUCUCUCAUGUACAUACGGUUGAUCAACUAAUAGACUCACUCACGAAGUCUCUCGUCCACAAACUAUUUUUAUUGCAUCGGUCUAAGGUCGGCAUCCUUAAUAGGAGCUCAAUCUUGUGGGGGCAUGAUAACAGAUUGAGAUUUUCUUAAUUGCAUAGUAGAUGAGAUUUCCCCGAGGAAAUCUCGCUGCUUAGUUGAGGAAAAUCCUUUCUUUCAACAUGUAUAAAUAGAUACCAUAUCAAGCUAAUUGAAGCAUGCUUUUUGCCUUUACACUUCAUUCUUCAUUUUAUCAUAAAUCACCAUGACAAGGUAGAAAGGUGCAUUUUUUUAGGGUAAGUGAAAGUAUUUAGAUUAUAUAAUUCUUUUGUAAAAAAAAACCUAUUAAUUGUGAUAUUAUUUAUAAUGAAAAAAAUUACGAAUACAGGGUGAAAAUAUUAUUGAACAAUCAGCAUUAACAAAUUUUGAUAAAGAUGAAUAAUUCAUCCUCUUAUUCAAGAUCAUUAGCCUAUAUCAUAAUUCCACAAGGCUGAACGAUAGGAGUAAAAACUAAUGAAACUAUAGAUGUAAGAUUCAGUUCAUAGAUAAGAAGGAUUAUAGGAUAUAUGAACUUGACCAGUCUAAAGAUCCAUUAAUGCAUUUUGCUUAAUUUUCAUAUUGUGAUCUUAUAACAUUUGAAGAUGUUGCGAAACAAUCAUAACGUGGAAAGGCGAUAGAUGAUGAAAUUAUAAUAAUUAAAAAAAAUAUGGGAGUUAACAGAUCUUCCUAAGGGCUAGAAGAUAAUUGGUAUAAGUAUGUGAUGAAGUUAAUAAGUACAAAGCUCAUUUAAGCAUUGACUACAAAUAGGUAUUUACUCCACAAAUGAUUAUUACAUUAACAUCACAAAACUCUUGGUUUAUGUUUCAAUUAGAUGUGAAAUCAACAAUUCUUGUAUGGAGACUUAUAUAUAUAUGUAUAUUUAUAUGUAUAUAUAUAUAUAUGUAUACAUAUACAUAUAUAUACAUAUAUAUAUAUACAUAUACAUAUACAUAUAUACAUAUACAUAUACAUAUACAUAUAUAUAUAUAUAUAUACAUACAUAUACAUAUACAUAUAUAUAUAUAUACAUAUAUAUAUAUACAUAUAUAUAUAUAUAUAUAUAUAUAUAUAUAUAUCAAUUAAUCUUAAAAAUGAGCAUAAAGUAUAUAAAUAAAAAAAAAGUUCUAUAUGGACUAAAACAAACUCCAAAGACUUGGUAUAUAGAUUCUUCUUAUUUUUUUUGAAAAAGAAAAUUCAGAAAUACCUAUAUGAACAUAUACUUUUUUUUAAAUUAGAGUUGAAGAUGGAGGAAAAAUGGUUCUUAUAUUAUAUGCUAGAUGAUCUGAUUUAUAGUAGAAAUGAUAGAGCCAUAUUUGAUAUAUUUAAGUAAUCGUUGAAUUUGAUUUGUCAUCUGAUCUUGGAAUGAUGUAUUAUUUUCGCGGCGCAGAAGUGGUGCAAUCAUACACUGACAUCUCUAUUUCCCAAAAGAAAUAUGCACUAAGUAAUUUUGGAUAGAUUUUAGAUGACAAAUUGUAUUUCUAUUUCAACUCCAACUGAUUUGAGUUGGAAACUAACAAAAGAUUGACAACACACCUUUUAAUAAAUGGUUAGAAGUUUUAAUGUAUUUGACUAGUAAUAUAAUAAUGCAUGCGAAAAGUCUUAUUAGUAGAAACAUAGAAACUCCGAAACGAUAGGGGCGCAUCAUCAUCAUCAUCUUCUGGCAACGAAGAGAAUUUAUUGAUAUCUACGAGCAGUAUCAAAUUCGGGUUAUUGUUUAGAAUGGGAGAUGAAAAGUCAGAUUUAAUUGGCUUCAACAAACAGCGACCGUGCAGGAGGAGAUAUUGAUGAUAGAAAAAGAAAAAGUAUACCCAGUGUAGGUUUUUAAUGCUUGGUUUGGUUGGUUGUAGAGCUAUUUUAUGGCUUUUAAAAUACCAAUCGAUUGUUUGUUGUCUGUCUUAUCAACCACAACAUUCAUUUGUCGAGCCAUAUAUAUUACUAUAUAUAUAGUCGAGGAAAAUUCUUAAGGAGAUUCAUUUUGAACGAGGAGGACUCCAUUUCAAUUUUUUUUGUGAUAAUUGCUCGGCAAUCAAAUAUUUCAAUAAUAUUUUGUUUUGUAUUAAAGUAUCGCUGCAUCAAAUGUACUAAAGAAGUAAGUAAAUACAUUGAUUUCAAUAAUUUUGUUUUGAUACGAUGGCUACCUUCUUUUCGACAACUUAAUACAAUAUAUCUUUAUCCACAAAAUAGAAUAUUAACAUUUCUAAGAGACGCUCUGCUCUUUAGGUGGCAUGAAAUAUCAUCAACAUUCUCAUGUAUAUAUAUAUAUAUAUAUAUAUAUAUUUAUAUAUAUUACAAACAACGUGAUGACAAGACUAAGAGGUGUAUCACAAUAAGAUUGGGGGCUGUGUAUCUAUAGCUUAAUUCUGAUGUAUGCUAUCUUUAAUGGAGGGUUGGAAGGAUGAUUGGCAUCCUCAACUUGCUUAUAUUUCGUUAGAGAGAUACUCUCCUAUCAUGGCUAAAUCAAAUGACAUGAUUCACAUCAAAUAAAGAAUACAGAGGAUCUCAUGUACAUCAUGAGAGGUUUUGAUUAUGAAUUUUAUCGGAUGGUUAGUGUGUUAAAAAAAUAUUGUACUACCUUGAGUUUUCUUUCACAUCGGAAAAAUAUAAUCAAGUAUUAUUAAGUAUCUUGGGCCAAACCUCCUAUCCAAAUAAACUGUAACACCCUCCUUCGUUCAGCUUAAAUUAUAUAUAUCUAUAUACAUAUAUAAUAUGAUGAUGAUGAUGAUGAUAAUGAUGAUGAUACCCUGUGAGACGGGGAAUUGGCACACACCACCCAAGUCAAGUGGCAAGCCAAGACGAUGACGUACGACGACGACUACCUGCGCAUCCCCACACCACGACUGUCGCUUUCACGAUGACCACUUUCUUCCUCACGCAUUUUCCUCGCAACGGAUGGUCGUGUUAUAUUUAUUUAUUUAUUCAUCAGGUGUUAUUUACAAGUUGAUUUUACAUUUUAGAUUACGUAAUAAUAAUAAUAAUAAUAAUAAUAAUUGCCAACAGACGUCAAGGAAAAAGCGAACGAUCAAGGAAUCUGAUGCUUAUCUCUUUCUUUUCUAGUCGAUUGUAAUGUGCUGAGAAAACUAUCUUUCUUUUUAUUUUCAUGUAAGAGAUGAUAAAAAAAAAAAAAGAUUUGUAUAUAUCUAAGCAUCCUUGAAAUUUCAAUUCUAUAUUUCUCUUCUAACGGGCGUCUAGCAAAGAUAGGGUGUGAAGCCGGUGGGCGGGUGGGGGCCCGUCCCGGAAAGAUACGGGUGAAUUCACUUGACAACCGACCCUCGCCUCCCUCCCUAAUGGCGGAGGACUGGUGGAUGGAUGGAGGCAUCAUUUUCGCAGCCCACCCGACGGGGCCAGUUUGCCCUUCUUGAUCUCAAAGCCGUGCGACUGCUCUCGCUCGAUUGGAAACACUUCCCCCCCUAACCUUAAGCCAAGCAACGCUCAACCGCUUCCUCUUCUGGUUUAUUAACUCCUCCUCCUCCACUCUCUCAUGGCGACACCGACGAAGAAGCCAUAGCAGACCAUACCAGAGGAAGAGGAGAUAUAAAUCGAGAGACAGAGAGACACGUACCUCUCAUCAUGGCUUCCUCCAGCUUCCAUGAAGAGGAGACGGAUGAUGGCUUCGUCUCCGCCGUCCGCCACGAGUCUCCGCAGCAGAUCCCCGCCGCUCCUCAGUGCACACAGGAGUCGCUACAGCUGGAUGACGGCGGGGGCGACGAGUCAGAGGACGACGACGACUUCGAAUUCGCUUUCGUGAUCAAGGACCCUGAGGGCGGUCAGGACAUUACCGCCGACGAGAUCUUCUCCGACGGCCAGAUCCGCCCCGUCUACCCCGUCUUCGGCCGCGCCCUCCUCCUCGCCGACGACGACGGCCUUCGCCGCCGCGGGAGAGCGGCGGCGGAGCUGGAGGAGGAGCGCGCGACCUCGGCGGUGCGGGGAACCCUCCGCCACCUCUUGAUCGCGGAGCGGGAGGAGAACCUUGGCGCGUCAUCGUCGUCCUCGUCCUUGGCGGCGGACGAGCUCGCUGGGGUCCCGCCGGGGACGUACUGCGUGUGGGCCCCCAGGUCGGCGGCGCUGACGCCGACUCGGUGCAAGAAGAGCCGAUCCACGGGGUCCUCCUCCCUACGGUGGCGGCUCCGGGACCUGGUGGUCGGGCGGAGCCACAGCGACGGGAAGGAGAAGUUCGUGUUUCUCGCAGCCGGGGAGGACAACGACAAGGAGAAGGAAAGCCGUUGCCGUGUAACCAAGACGGAGGAGACGGGGAAGGGCAAGGAGGAGAAGGCGAAGGGGAAGCGUGGUGAGGCGACCGAGGUGGAUAUAGCCACCGCUCAUCGGAUCUAUUACGGGAGCCGCGGCGGCGCCCGGAGGUCGUUCCUACCGUACAAGCAGGACUUGCUUGGCUUCUUUGCUAAUGUGAACGGGAUUUAGCCGGAGGCAUCGCGCUUUUUUGAAUCUCUCUGUCUCUCUCUCUCUGUUCCUAUCUUUAAUGGUUAUAAUUUCUUGGCUAGAAGACCUCAUCUUCUUUUUACUGUGGCCGUGUGAAGCUUGUUCGUGUUGACAUGGAAGUAACAGUGUGACCGCUUUACACUUGUGCUAGUGUGUGUGUGGGGAUGGGGGAAUGGUCAACCUUCUGUCAUUGACUAGUGUUGACCACCAUGGUGCCUCGUAGGGUAGUGCACGUUGAUGGCAAUGGUGGUGUGUAAAUCAUAUUUACUAAACCCUAAGUUAGUGACAUGACAAGACGAUAAUUUGCAACAACUCCUCCAUGAAAUAUAUAAUCUAAUCGAAGAGAAAUGACCCAUCAUGUAAUUUAUCAUGAAUUGAUUCGAUUUGUGGUCCCAGACAGUGACACCUGCUUUACACUUGGCGGUGCUUGCUUUGUUAGUUUCGUAGACUUUAGCAAAAGAUGAAAUCGAAAGUAAGUAAAUGGACAUCUAAGUCACACAAAGAAGAAAUGGAGACAUGGAAUUGAUAUGCUCGAGUGGUCCCUGCCAUGGUGCUGCCAAACUUUGUGUGCAUGCUGAAGCUUGGCAUUUCUUUAUGGGAAAAAAGCUCAUGAACACGGUGAAAUAUUAUUAGGAUAUCAGUGGCUGGUCAUGUACCUGAAGAAAGCUUGGAGACCAAUGAUGUUGGAUCUGACACCACAAAGUUCCAUGUGUUAGAUCCUUGGAUACGUCAAGAGACCAAGCUGAAAUGGUGCGAGCAGCUCCUGCUGGAAGCAGCCAUGACUGCACUGUAUUAAAUCUUGGAUAGCCAUGUAAAUCCUGCACAAGAAUUAAGGAACUAUGUGUACUUAUUAGAACAAAAACAAAUGCUUGUUAAAACAAUUUAUCAUGGGAAAAAAACCAAUCACAGGUGUGUCGUUUUCACCCUUGAUGUCACUGCUGUUCACCUGGAAUGAUCUGGUUUGGUGCUUCAACAUCAGCUACGUGUUGGCAAUGUCAAAUUGCACUACUAACAGCGGUGCUUGCUGGGGCCAUGAUAAAGAAAUGGAUAGCAAACUACGCUUCUCAUUACACCAGGAUUCAAUGGAAUCAUGUGCAAUUACAUUACAGUUAGCUACCUCUUCCUCCAUGCUCGAGGUUUUCUUCUCUCUGCAGUCUCAUUUUCUUGUGAAGUUACAUCAAACAGGUAAUUAGCCACCGCAAACAUGACCGGUAGAGACAAUACUCUUCAUUCCAGGUAAAAUAAUCAAUAUCAUUAUCUGGUAUACACCAUCCUUUUGGCAGGAUCGAAGGACUACGAGUUCUCUUCAGAAUGGAGUCUAAAGAGAUUAGUUUCAGGAAGGAUCGAUUGCGUUUUGAGAUAAAAUAGCUGCUAUCAGAGGCAGGAGAAGAACUCAUGUGAUUUGUAGUAUUUAUUGAGAACAACAUUGUAGAGAGGAUGCACGGACUCUAACAGGUUAGCAUAAGGACCCAACACUGCUCUUGUUGGUGGUGGUACGCUAGCAUCUUUUGAGCAGCUAUACUGAGACACCGACAAACCACUUAGGCAGUAACAUGAAUGGUAAAAGUCCCGUUGUUUGCCAGGCUUGUCCUUGAACCCUCCCUCGAGUACCUACAGACACAAUGUUUUAGGUGCUUUAACUAUUGAAAUGAUGAACAAGAAGUGCUGGUGAUCAACAAGUAUACGAGUAACCAAAACCAUGCGAUAAGUUCAGCUGCUGUAAACAUGAAAAGAAUAAGACAGUGCAUUAUGUUACACAACUAUCUAAAACAAAGCCAACCUACAUGUAUAAAUGAACUUUACACUUCCCUCCUAUUCUAGAAGAAAAUAUUAUAAUGCUGUAUCCAGGUAAAGCUAACAAAACCAUCGUUUAUUCAUGCAGGAUAUCCCAGAAUAUGUUAAAAUGAAGACCAAAAAUUACAUGACAAAUAUAGAUUAUUUCAAAUUUUGCUUAAAAUAUAAAACCAUCAACUGAAUCCUCAGUUUUUAGAUUAGAUAAAUUAUGUUAAGCUCAUCAAAUCCUCUUGACGGCGUUGGAACAUCAGGCUAAUCCUUUUGGCAACACCAGCAGUGAUGAUUGAUGUAUAAAAGACAUGUUAAGACUGUAUUCUAACUAAUGGGAAGUCCCUCAAGUUCUAUAAGCACAAACACCUGAAAUAUUUCUCAAAUCUCAUAGUUUUUGGCAUCAAACUUUUGAAUACUCUUGAAACAGAGUUUUCUUCAUUAUUCAGUACAUACCUGUGAACAUAGGAGUAUAUAUUGCUGCAAGGCAAUACUUUGGAAUAAUGGACCACAUUCAGUUUGUUUUUCCAUGAAUGAAAAACCAAAAUCUGAAAGUCCUCCUGUUUCAAGAUCAUUUCAUAAAAAUCAGCACAACAAUAAUGCCUAGAGUACAGGAAUGCAGUUGAAGCAAAGCACCAGCAUAUAUUGAAAAAAAAAAAAUACAAAUAGAGAAUCAGUAUCUGUUCCAUUGCACAGCACAUAUAUAAAUAAGUUCAAUACUGAAGAAACAGGUGAGUCUUGUAAUCAAAUAAGAAAACAGAAAGGACAGGAAGUCAUUGUUCAAAACUUUUUAAAUCCCAAGUUGUCCACUAGAUUGGUCUUUAGUUGCAGACCACUCAUCUUUCCUCACUUGUGUGUCUUCUUCUCCUUAAAUACUAUUACCCCGAACUCCACUUUUGUGCUGCAAGAACAAAAGAUAAUUUGUCCCUACUUUUGUCAGUUUAGAUGAACCCACACAGUUGGACUUACCUUAUCCAGGAACAAUCUUGAUAAUAGGUUUACUUCAUGUUGUCAGUCAACUUUAUAAUCCACUACUUUGACAGCUCAAAAUUUCCUCAGAUUGUGAAAACUUUAAAUGUUAAAAUAAUGUGGCAAAGCACUAGAUAAGUAGAUACUAUAUCUCUUCUCCUUGCACUUUUGAUAGCUUAAAUGGACUCAUAAUUUCCAUAAAACCAUUGAUCAUCUCAAAAGAAAAUAACCACAUAAUUUUUUACCAAAUCAACAACAGAAAUGUUUCAACCAACAACAAAACUGAAAAACUUUACCUGAUAGUCUACAGCUUCCAUGACCUGGACUAGUUAUAUCCAUCAAUAACAUGACCUCCAUAUUUCAUCAGCAAUUUUAUGGAUCAAAUUAGAAGUUACUCUAGUCCGAAAAAGUCGGGAUAGUCCUUGAUCACUAUAAUAUAGAUAGCACUAGCAGAUAACCAGCCAUUUCUACCUCAUGUCAUCCGAAUCAUUAACACAAGUUUUUCUGGUGUAUUAAGUACCCACAUAGCCCUUUAAAGAGAUUCGAUUCAAAUAAACGAGGCAGCUACAACUACAAAUAAGAACACCUGCAAUUUCAACAGCUUUGCAAAGUCUACCUUCAAUUUUAGCAUGAGAAGUUCCAGCUCCACAUAAGUUCCCAUCUAAACCAGUUUCCCCAGUAGUGAAGUUACAUGAUUUAUUACACGCAACAGAUGCCUGCACUCGGCCGAUAAAAGAUGACUCCAGCUGUUUGUGAAGAAUCGGCGAUAGCCUUUGUGCCAAAACAAGAGCACCUCCCUAGAGAAAUUUGAUAUCUGAAUCCUAAAUUGGAUGACUAAGAACCACAAAGUAAGAUAAUUACCUGCCAAAACGAGUAGCAACCAUCAACCAACUUAUUUACUCGCCCUUGAAAACCACACUCCACUCCUUGACGAGAUGCUACCCAGUCCUAACCAUACAUCACAUACAGAUACCCUUAGGACUCGAAAGUUUCAAAGCAGCAUCAAUGCCUAAAAGAUAAGAUUAAUGCAAUGAAGAACUCAAAUCAAAGCUCACAGAUAUCAAUUAACAGAUAUGAUACUAGAAUUUGUGACUCAAAGUUUCUGGGAACAAUAUAGUGGAUGACAUCUGUUACGACUACAAGAAAAUUUCACUAAGCUAAAUCGUGUGCAAAUAAGGCACAAAUAUUUAACACUUCUAUUCCUGGAUAAACUUUAUAAGUUGAUCACAGAAUCAGCAUGCAUUUGCACUUAUCAAUAGGGAACCAUUUCAUAAUAAUUAGUCAAUUACCAACAACAGAAACGGAUGCUGGGAGAUGGUGCAAGGUCAAGCAAUAGAUUAUAUAUAUAUGUAUGUAUGUAUGUAUAUAUAUAUAUAUGUAUAUAUAUAUAUAUAUAUGUAUAUAUGUAUAUAUAUAUAUAUGUAUAUAUAUAUUUAUAUGUAUAUAUAUAUUCUCAGAAAUUAGAAUAUGAGAAUAGCUACUGAAGCUUAUAAUGGUGUAUAGAUUUCUAACAACUUCAUAUACUAGGAUAAGAUAUAUAGCAUGAAUUGCAGGCAGAGCUUGCUCCAUGCCACCAUGUGCCACUUAUUAGCGAUGGCAUGGGCAGUAAAUAUCUUAUAAAGCUAAGCAUGCAUAGGCAUAAUUUAGGACAUGUGCCAAGGCAUGCAUGUUAAAAUAAUGGCUGCAAGCACACCCUCUAGUCAUUUAUCUUUGUAUGUUUGUGUGCACAUGAUAUAAAAUUCACAGUAAUCUCUUGAGCUUCACAUAAGCCACAUCCAGGAAGUACAAUCUCAUAAUGAAUUCUGAUCAUUUAUCUUUUUGAACAUUUGUUGCAAGUUAUUUAUUACUUAUUACAUACUUCACAUAGUGGAGAUGCAUAAUUAAAAACUUUGGCAGUAUGCAGAAUUCACAACACAGGCUAAAUCCCUAAGGUACUAAAUUGACAGCUAAACCAAAAAAUGGCAGGCAUUAUUCUAAAUUUACAAUUAAAAAGAUUCUGGACUAAAAUGCAUGGCAACAUAAAUUGAGAUUAAGCAUCAAGAGCAAAUGAGAAACUUCUUACAACUAGACUAGGCAAAUCCAGCCUAUCAGCCUCAUUAAUCAGAAUCAUUGCAGCCAGCCCACAGAAUGUGUACCUUUAAGAAAAACAAUGCAUUGGGGACACAUAUAUAACAUACAAAAAGUUCUAAAAGGUUCUGAACACAAAAUGGCAUAGGCAAAACUAAAACUAAUAAACUUAUAAAAGAUAUAUACCCGCCAUGAGCUUCUGAACCAGGCUCUCCAGCAAUACCACCUUCAUAUGUUUGACAGCUGAAACAAACAGAAAUUUGAUUGCAACUGCAUUUCCAUAAAUUGAGGGGAAAAUAGAAGUAGAGAACAGUAAAGAAACCAAAAAUUAAAAGGCAAAAAGCUUUGUUAUGAAUACGGAACUGGUAAAGUACUUGAAUAUGGUAUCGCUGUGACAAAUUAAUGGUGCAUCACAAUAUUCAUGUCCAAAAAAGGUGUUAGUAAAGUACUUGAUUAUGGUAUCGCUGUGACAAAUUAAUGGUGCAUCACAAUAUUCAUGUCCAAAAAAGGUGUUAUUACCAUGAAGCUUUCAAUAUUUUACAGGUAUACAUGUGCAGAUCCUGACUUAUGAAUCACUUUGAAAACACAGACUGAAGCAUGAAAAAUCAGUACCUUGAUUCGCAAUAUAGAUGAGUUAGCAAUGCAUAUAAUGAUUGCUAUUCUCCUGAGUGGCACUUCAACCCAACAAAACAGAGGCCACAGCAUCUAUGCCUCAUCACUUCUGUUGUUGCUUAAAACUCCAUCCACAAGUCAAUGAUGUAAUUGUACUUGUUUAUAAGGUGAAGCACCACUAUCUUGCAUAUAUUCAUUGAGUGAUAAACCAUAAGCAUUUAUUAUUUAAUUGGUUUGCACUUUCAACCUCAAGGCAACACAUCCUAUUUUUGAUGUCUAAAGAUUGAUAGAGUUUUUAAUAGCAUCAACUACUUUGAUUAUAGAUGUAAAAUUUUCAAACAUAUGGUGGCGAGUCACUGAGCGUGAUUGAUGACAUGACUAAAGAAUAAACACAUAGACACAAGUUCGAACAAAGAACCAACAUUUGAUUUCCUAGAGGCUUUAGGUUCUUGUUAUUUGCAGCCUAUAAGGUAAUAUUCAGAGACAUGAAAGCCAUCAAAAGGUUCAAUCAAAACCAUAAAGAACCCUAAAGGAAACCCCAAUGCAUACAAUCUAAUUCUUUAAAAUUUCAAGUAAAAAGGACUAGCCUCAAGAUGUAAUUUCCGAGAUCUUUUACCAGCUCAACAUCCAGAACAUUGAGAAUACUAGCAACCUGGUUUCACAAAGAGUUGAGAAGUGAUUCAGACAAAGGACAGUGGAACAAAAAAAGGUAUGCAUUGCUGAAGCUAACCGAGAUUGCAGUGUAGCAAGCACGAACAUCAAUUUCACCUCCAUCAUGCAUUCUGACAAAUAAAAAAUGCUUGUCACUAGAAUAGACAAAAUUAUCAGUAAUAGAUAAUAACGAAGCAAACAGAUUAUUACAUAACCAAAGAAGAGUCAGUUUGUUUGUCCACUGUUUUCCAAAAUAUUCAUGGCAAAAUUUCACAUCAGAAUAUCAAACUCCAGAACCUGUUCCUCAAAAUUGCAAUACCAAAGUGCAAGAUGACAAUUGAUUUCAAGACAUCAAAACUACCCAAGAGAACCUAGAUUCAAAGGAAAUAAUUCAAAUAUAUAUAGAGAAAUUGCCUUAAUGUGACUUGUUCAUGAUCUCCUGCAGAUUUCAAUUUCUACCAACCAGGACAAAUUAAUAAAACCAAAAUAAUUCUGAAGAAACCAGUUUAUAAAUUGUAGAAGCACCUUGGAAUGAAGACUGGAUCAUGAUUAACAGUUGAAUAACUUCUAAUACUAUACCCUUUGAUUGUCACAGAGACUAUGUUGGGACAGUAUGUAUGGUUCCUACAGAUACAUUGCACCACAAUACUCAGCCGAUAGAGAUUGAGUAUCUAAAGCACUUCAUCCAAAGUUCUUAAGCACAUGACACCAAAGUUCGACUUGAUUGGAUGUUUUUAUAAUCCAAAAAUGAUCAUUUUUGUUGUUUCUACCAUACAUUUAAUGCUUAGUGCAAAGAGGUACACCUCAAUACUUAGGCGAGAAAAUUUGGGGCCAUAGACUGCAAGAUCCAAAGAGCAUAAGCCACAUAACAUGAAAACACAACUUUUUUAGAAUAUGAGAUUGACAAUAGAGGCUGCCAUCAAGUCAAAUCAUUUAGCAUAAUCUUCAUGUCUUGUAAAACCCAAAAUUUUUCUGCUAUUACAACCAAAUAUUUAACACUUCAGUGUACAGUUUAAACAUAUGAUAUCAAUUGUUGAAUCUGCUUGUACAGGACUGAAGUGAAUAUAUGUACAAGGGUGUUUCUAGGGUAACUCAAAAUCAAAAUGCUGAUUCAGCAAUAGCUUUUUAAGAGAAAAAAAACAUUUGAACCAUGUUUUAACAUAUCAAUCAUACUGGCAUGCAAUGUUUGCAAUACCGUACCGUACCGCCUGUACUGGUCCGUCAGCAAAUCGGCACGCGGACCACUCGCUACCAAAUGGUAUCAUGCAUUUGCUCCCAUGUUGGGCGAUACGGGGCUGUACCGGGCGGUAACAGUCGAAAUUUUGAUCAUUAUCUACCUGUACUGGUUGGUACCAAUCGAUUUCAACAAGAUACUCGAUGAUAUACUUUCGACCGGUACUCAAAGAAAUACUAGUCAAAUUUAUGCACGGAAGGGGAAGCCAGUGGAUGAUUUUGAGCAGAUGCGAUAGAGCCUACACGAUGUAAACACAGAACAAAGCUCACUGUAUUCACAACCGUUAUAUUAUGGAGAAUCUUACGGCUAAUAGCAGUACGGUGAUAGUCGAUCAUACUUCUCUAAGCAACAGUAUGAUACGGAGCAACAGUAUGAUACAGAGCAACAUACCAGUAGCAAAAGUAGUUCUGACAUUCACUAAUACAUGCCUCAGGAGCCGCCUCGGACACAUGAUUCAUGACGAUCAAUAUAUGACCAUUACCACAUUGAUGCACCAAUGGUAUACGGUGUAUCAAUACACUAUCUUGUGGGAUCAAUUUCAGGAUUGGGUCCGACAAACAUAUCAUAUUGAUAUACAGAUACAUAGGAUCGAGGACCCCGAUCUACCACUCGUGGAGGCCUGUCGUUCAUUUUGGUGGUAGAAUAAGAUAUAUCUACAUAUAUAGUUAGUUAAUUCAUUGGAAUCUUAGAGUUCAAGUUGUAUGCAAAAUAAUCUAACAAUUCAAAUAAUUUUUCUGUAGAUAAUUCAAUAUUAGAAGGACGAUCCGGAAUGGACCGAAAUUGUGAACCUUGCACAAGACUACUCUUCAAAACUUGAAAAAGAUAUGUGGCACUAUUCUUACCUAAUUUACAUUAGUUUUACUUAAACUAUAUUAAAUGUAUAUUUAUUUCUAACUUAAAAACCCUAUCUUAACUCUUUUUUUUUAUUAUUCAGGUAUUUUCAGAGGGUUUUAUGCCUAUUUUAGGCGGAUCAUACCGAGCAAAGCUCAAUACACCGAUACGAUACGAGAUUAAGAACCUUGCUGGUAUGUACAACCUAUAUUUGUUGGGCCAACCAAGCACCAACAACCAGAACCAUAAGCCUGGAGCUACUCAGUACAUCAUAUUUGUUCUUUUUUCACUGGUACCAAGCAAUGCAAAUAAGAAUAGCACUUAAUAUCUAGGUACACCAGUCCAACCAAUUGCCAAAAGGGUAAAUUGUACAAUAAGAGAAUGAAAAGAUCACUUGACACAAGCUUCAAUGUUCUCUUUCAUAUACACAUCAUGCAAAUUACUUCCUUGCAUCCAAGUAUGACUGAGAAAUUAUAAAUGAACCAAACCUGAAUGCACCGGAAGAAUCUUUCAUCCGCAGCAAAAACUUAAGCAGAUUUGCUCUGAUCAGACAAAAGAUUCUGAAUUCUGUUAGAUUCUACUUAAAUGUCAUAUGUGAACAAAAAGCAACAGAAGCUGUAGAGUUAGAUCCGUGACCUAUUUAUAGAUGACAAUGCCAUGUCACUUCCCAAAGUAACAAGUGUGUUAACAGCAGCAUAAGUUGUUGCAAGAUGAGGCAUCUAAGGAAGUAAGCAUUUAGUUAAUGCUCAGAUAAUCUAAAAGAAUGGUGAUUCUGAAAAUAGAAAUAGAUUUGUCCAUGAAGUUGUCACAGAUAUAAUCAAGACAUCAAUGAUGAGCCUCACAAUAAUUGCAGAUUAGUCAUCUGUUUCAGAUUCAUCACAGACAACAAUGAAAUAAUUGACGAUUAACUAAAAGUUCAUCUUGGGAUCCAACUUUACCUGAAUCUCCCUCAUAAUUAGGAAAUUGUUCUCUGGAAAAUUUCUGCCCUUAAAGAUUCUAAAAGUACUUUGUUGAUAGAUUUUGUGAGAGUCAGUCAAUGCCUUGUGGAUAAAUGUAAAAGCCAAAAAGUUUCCACUGCUAUGUUCCUCAAUUUGAGGAACACGAUCUGCAACAUUCUCACCCAACCUCUACACGUGAAGUUGAAAAGAAAGAUGAUAAAGCUCAAAGUGAUCCUUCAACAUGAUCCCAGCCAGCCACUCUGAUGGCUCCAUGAGUUUGACGAGCAGGAAGUUGAUGCAGAGCAGCUCUCCCACAUUUGGACAGCUCACAGAAGGGCCUUUCAAGUUACAUUGUAUUUUCCUAUUAUUAUUAGAUGUAUUUUUUUCCCAUUUCUCAUCACUAUUUUAGAUCAUGUAUAGAAACAUACUUUGAGUUAAAUACCUAUUUGAAGUCCUAAUUUUGGUUUAUAAACAAGGCUGACAGGGUCCAUAAGCCAUUAAAUGACAUGUCCAGAAAAUUUUACACCAUUCUUCAGAUAGAAAUAUGUGGGAUUCCUAAAUUUCAAAAAACUCUCUUUUGAUAUGUUAUUUUUGUUUACUAUACAAAUGCUCUCUUUUCUUUUUCAUCCUUUGGGAAGUCCAUUAUCCUCAAACUGAUUAAUAUUACUGAUAACAGGGUCAUCUCCUAUUGUUUUUUUAUCCCUACAUUCCUAAAGUGUUCUACUGCUCCUGAUUAUAGCUGCUUGUUUAAUUUUCUCAUUGCACUUGAGCAACAACCCUAAAAAUCAUGGAAUAUGAGUUCUAUACACAUAAUAUGAAGUUAUGAACACCAAUUAGUCUGCUGCUAUCAAGAUGAGACCUCACUGCAAGUUGCAAACCUUCUCUUACAAGGGCUGAAGUUCUUAGGCAACAAAAAGUCUCCAUAUGGGACAACAUGGAAGCAGCAAACUUCAACUUUAGUAGCAGUCUAAAUCUAUGGCCUCAAGUAACAUCCCUAAUGUCUUCAGUAAGUCUCUUGUAUCUUCAAUCUAUUCACUUGAAGACCAAGUUAUACUGAUCGCAAGUCUAAAAGUAGACAUUGAUCCUAUCCUUUAGACUCCAAAAGGCCAUAAAAGAAAACAUUUUCUAAAUUCUGAAUACAUGUAUAAAUAAAGUCCUAGCAAGACUAGACCAAAAAAAUGAGAACAAUGCCCCUGGUCUAAAGAGAAAUAGACCUCGAUAAAUCAAUCCAAUCAUCAGUGACUCAAUUGCACAAAAGCAUACUCUACGCUCAAUCCAAAAUAUAUAAUUAUGUUCCACCCUUUUCUUAAAUUUAUCCUUCCUUCUGCUUAAUAGGCUAGUCCAUUCAAUUGCAAUAAAUAAGAUGAAUUUCAGUUAUACAAGGUAUGAAAGUCAAGUUCAGCUAUCUUUCCCAGUGUUACAGACUUACAGUAAAGCAUGCAUUGUUCCUUUGUAAUAAGAAUGCACUGAAUCUUGCUCAAGCCAUACAUGUCAGGAUUUUAAUUGAGGUCAAUAUUAUACAAGGAUGGCACUGAUGACAUUUCUAGUAUAAUAUCCAAGAAUUUCUAUGCCCUGAACUUGUUCCUCAUUCACAAUUUCUUGAAUCACAACUUUCUCAAUCAGAAUGCUAAUUAGAUAUUUGCCAUAGUUGAAGGAACUCACAUAAUAUUCAAUAAUUUUCUACAUAUUAUGUGCAUACAAUGCAACUUAUAAAUUAUAAUAGAUAUUUUUACUGCAGUACAACUCAAAUUAUACUAGAGUUCAUUUCAUCAUGCAUAAGCUAAAAAUACACUGGCUGUUUAGAAUUUUAAAUGUGAUUGUACAUCCGAUAGACAAAGAAGCAAUUGAAAUAAGCAAGAACAAACCUGCCCUGGUCCACCACCAUAUCCACCAUAUUUGUCCUGUAAACCAUUCAGAGUAACAAUUUUAAAAAGGCAUUUGCAACCUGGCCAAACAAGCAAUACAAUUUGAUCUUUGAAGAUAGAGUCAUUAUAACAAUUAGAACACUCAAUCUUUCACCAACAACUAAAUUGUAUUUAUUCAUAGAUACCGAUGAAUAAAGUGCCAUUAACUUCAUAUUAGAGCUAAUAAUUGAAGAAUUCUUUACUAGCUUAAUAACAGGUUAGGAUACUGCAGAAGAACAAAAGGGAGAAACAAUUACCCAUACGAGGGAAGUGUAUUCUACUAAAAAGCCACAGAACAAGCACUACUAGAAGGCAAUGAAUGAUUAAAUAUUUGAUUCCAGCUUAAAAGUGUAGUUUGCCUUUGCUUAAGUACCCUGAAUUUAUGAUAAUGCUGAAAACCACAUAACUCCAAUCCUACUUCUUAUACAAUGCUAAAAGAAUUACUCUAAGCAGGAUUAAAUUGAACUUUUUGGUUUAGAAGUAUUUUCCCUUUCUGUCACGAAUGGUCGUCGCGCACCCGCAAUAACUCCGUUCAACGAACUGUUCUAUCACGGACUUAGCUAGUUUUGCUUAAGUCGUGCGGCACCCUUGCGUGUCCGUCCGCAAAGGUCAGCCUCCCCGAAGCCUCCCAUGGUCCCUUAGGACCCACAAAAGAGAGAACAAGAUAGAGAAAACGUCUCACUCGGGAUCCACAAGCAAACAUCUCCGAAAACACUUCAUAGACAAUGCAAAUUACAAACAUACAUUAAAAGCUCUGAACAGUUGCACAACAAAGGGUAAAAUGGUCCAUUACAGACCGAAAAUCUCUCACACGUGUCCACAUGACACAACCUUUAUUUACAAGCCUAAAGCGGCCACCAACCUAACUAAAAUGGGACUAUUAAGCCUUCGACCGUCCCUCUACAUGCUGUGCAGAGCAUGAACAUACCAAAAGACACGGACAUACAUAAGCAUUACAUCAAACAUCCUGUUUCGAAGAUUGUCUGUGACAUUCUCCCCCACUUAUUCCUUCGACGUCCUCGUCGAAGCCUUUGUCAACACUGCAACUCCUCGCCUUUGCUGAGUCUUCAAUCUUCUGCUCUAGCUGCAAUGCGCCUCUUGGCUCCCAACUGCUCUCCGCUGUUGUUUUUGAGUAGUCGAACCUUUGAUCCGCCAUGCUGCUUCAACUCGCCAAUGACUCUGACUCUAGUGUGGGGUUGGUUGAGUUGUGUUGAUCCCUGUUGGUUCCUGCGGAUCCUCCAGAUGACGGAAAAGACUAUCCUUACUACGUCAGUCUCUCAAAUGCCUCAUGCUGCUUAAACUAGGUGGAUGCUUAUUGGAGCUUUAACGAGCAUCAUCUCGCAAACUUCUGAAGUUUUGGGUCCUUCCUCCAUAAAAUUUGCUCAUUGACUCUUCUUUCAUUUAGUUGUCACAUCCAAGUAGGUUCGCAUCAUUUCCGCUUUCGAUUGGUAUUUCGUUGGGAAAUGAAGUAGACAAUAUACUCUCAGUAACACUGAUCACCGUUGGUGAGGAUUUGACAACUAUUGUCUUCCAUUAUCUUCGAAGGGUCUUUGAACAUAUGCAGAGCUCCUCUACUGGAUAGAUUAAAGAAUUGGGGUACUCGGUUUCACCCAUUCUCUUAAGAGUUGAGAAGGCAAAGGUUACUUGACUUCGCCCGCCUCCUCGAGGUUGUACUCCAUGCAUCGAGCUGGUUACUGGCCUUCGCCUGCUCUUUGCUCACACUUCUGAAGCACUUGAAGUGUUUGCACUCCUUGCGUUGAGUAAGUUACUGUGAUUCACCUUCUCAAUGCCAUCGAACUUCUGGAAUGCAGGAAGUUUGCACCCCAACUUAGAGUAAUUCUCUCAUAGGUUUGGUCGCCUCUGGGAUUGUACCGUCUUCUCCAUCAACCUUGCCGCCUACUCCACUGAGUAGCAAAGGUACAGCACCGCGUACUGCCUACUUCGUUCCUUGGUCAUGCACUCUUGCCUGACCCGAAGUCCUUCACUUUCGGCUAUCUUGAUAAGAAACUCGUUGACAGCGGUCUUACGAAGUUCCUUUGCCUCUGCCCUUCAGCCUUGUCACGGUACUUGGAGUUUGCCUCUGCAUGCUCCGCCUCCUCGGCCCCUUUCACGAUCAAGCGCUCUCCCUCCAUGAGAGCAAGGGAUCAAUGAUUUUCACGAAAGUCUUGCCUCUGUGGUACCAUGACGCUACCAUGCCCAUGGCCCUACUAUCCAUCGCCUCGCAUCUGCAUCCCUUUUUGUCACAAUCAGUAUAUAUGUCUCUGUGGCACUCCUCCGAGUCCACCUCCAUUCUAACUGAUGCUUGAUUUUGGGUAGCUAAGUCCCUCUGGACUCAUCGUCGCUUCCUCGCCUCUUUCGACCCCCUGCUUCAACACCUCUGUGUUUUCCAAGCAGCUCCCUUUGGUCGAUGGAAAGACAGACUGCAACUCUCAUGCAUGGCCUCUGCCAUCGCAUUAUAGGGUUUGCACCGAUUCUGUUCUCCUUAGCUUCCUUAGUAGCAACGUUCGCUUACUCGACCUUGUCCUCUGACUUGCUAGGCUCCCUUAAGCGAAUAUGAGCUCUAGAGCAGUCCAACUCUCCAGCUGCUUCGAUCAUACCUCUGUAUGAUCAAGUCCCUCCCAUGGGACUCACUGGUACUUGCAUUCGAACUUUUCCCUUGGUGGAACAUAGCCCCCAUAUGCUGAUGACCAAGGUUUUCAUCCGAUGCAAAAUUCGAUGCACGUACGGAAGACCUGCCUCUGCGGUACCAUGGCCUUCACUCCUUGAAUCCAUAGCCCUUCUUACCGUCGUGUUGUUCACCGAAGUGGCGCUUCCAGUAGCUCCCGAUCAUACCUCCAUAUGAUCUAGUCCCUCACGGGACUAGGUUGUGUGUAUCGCAUUGCCACGAACUGUUCCACCACGAUCCGCUGCACCAUGUCGCCUCCUGGUGACAUCUCUAUUGCAUUCUGAUCCUUGUGGGAUGAACUCGAAUUGUGAACCCUUCAUGUGUGGCCUCUGUCAAUACAUCGCAGGGUCUCUUCCACCUUCGAUUUUGUUCGCUCCUUUGGCAAUCGACCUUUAUCCACCGACUCUUGGGUCACACCUAGAUGAAGCACCGCUCUAGGACAGUCCGUCGCCUAGUAGCUCCCGAAGUCCCCCGACUUCACUGCAAUUAGUGCACUAUUGUCUGGAUCCUGGGCCUCUACCCCUACCAGCACAAUCUUCGCUGCGCACAGCUUCCUUCAUAGCAAAUUGAAUGGCAACACUGUGGCAUAUUCUUCAAGAGUACCCGCCUCUGCGUCCUCUUGCCCCGUGCUAAGGCCUUCUGAACCCAACUUCGCCUCCGCAAAUUGAGUCAUCUUAGUUCUUCCAUCAAAUGCUCCUCCGAGAUAAGGUGCAUGUGCCCAGAACUCCCUUCGUCUUUGGCACCAUGCAAGCUGAGUCCGCUCCGUUAGAAUGAAUGACCCAUGGAACAACAUGAUCCUGCUCUUGCCUUUGCAAGAGUUCAUGUCCUUGACCUUUGUCCAAGGAAAGCACUAUGCCUCCGCUCCAUGUUCCAUCUGCUAUGCUGGCUCCCUUCAUGCGGCUUGGGUACUUCGCCAAGUUACACCCAAGUUGCUCCGCUCCUCGUUUUUGCAUUGAGUUGAUGGUGGCCCUCGCGCCCACCAUUCCACGGGUCAGCCCUCCCUUGAGUCCGAUCUCCAUAUCGACUUCAAGUGUGCCUUCAUUUGUGUUGCUUUGGGUCGCUCCCCCACUUGAUCUCGCAAUGCAUCUACCAAUGCAUUCUCUCGAGCGAGAUCAUGCGACGACUCCUCGCCGCUUGCUCAAUCCAUUGAGCUUUGUGGAGUUGUUGUUUGUUGAGGUACUCCUCCUCAACUUGUGAGGUCCGUCCCACAUGAUUCUCCCUCUAGAGAGCCGGGACUUAUCCCUCCUGGAUAACCGUCCCGUUGGAGCAACAUCUCUCUUCGUUUCGGAGACCACUAUCCCCUUGGACUACUCCGAUCUACUGAACAAACUGUGCAUUGUUCUGCCUCCAGCAAACACACUUGCUAGAUUGCGACUCCACGUCAAUACAACUCCCGCUGCACCACUCAAGGCCUAGCAACAUGCUAAACUCGUUGCACACUUCAGCCUCCUACGGACGUAUCCUUCACAUGCCGAAGAGAAAGUUUCAAUGCUCCAUGGCGCAGAGUUUCGGUCGCCUUGGGAUGGCCGCGAAUAUUCCAUCAUCCGCACACAAGCCCAUGCAUGAGUACCGAAUUCUUUGAGUUAGCAAUUCCCCUCACCUCUGUGAGCUUUGCACAACUCUUUCGGUCGCUGAGCAACUCAGUCCAUCUUAGAUGGUCUCAUCCUUUACCAAGCGCCUCGCUUGCCUUGAGCACCAUCAAGUAUAAUUGUUCGUAGCUCAAACUCAGUCAUCCCAACCUUUGUGCGCUCCGUAUUCUUCCAAGCUUGUCUGUUCUCGUGGUGCCUCUUGCGCGAAGGGUUGGCCAUUCCUCUGAAUGCUAAUCUCAGAUGCCCGCUCCUCCGAGCAACUCCUUUUCCCUACAUCUCCAUGCCUGUUUUCCCCCAAACGGUCACGCGUGUGCUGACUGCCCUCAACGUAGCCCCGCUAGGUCCCCCACGUUUGCAUGCUAAGUGUUUCUAUGAGUGCUUGUCCCGCUCUGAUACCAUAUGUCACGGACUUAGCUAGUUUUGCCUAAGUCGUGUGGCACCCUUGCGUGUUCGUCUGCAAAGCUCAGCCUCCCCGAAGCCUCCCAUGGUCCCUUAGGACCCACAAAAGAGAGAACAGGAUAGAGAAAAUGCCUCACUCGGGAUCCACAAGCAAACAUCUCCGAAAACACUUCAUAGACAAUGCAAAUUACAAACAGACUUUAAAAGCUCUGAACAGUUGCACAACAAAGGGUAAAAUGGUCGAUUACAGACCGAAAAUCUCUCACACGUGUCCACAUGACACAACCUUUAUUUACAAGCCUAAAGCGACCACCAACCUAACUAAAAUGGGACUAUUAAGCCUUCAGUCGUCCCUCUACAUGUUGUGCAGAGCAUGAACAUACCAAAAGACACGGACAUACAUAAGCAUUACAUCAAACAUCCUGUUUCGAAGAUUGUCUGUGACAGUUCGUCGCUCUCAUCUACAUUACAGCUGCUUGGCAGCAUGUUUUGUCUUGGUUUUAAGUCCUUUUGCUUGUAAAAAUGUAAGUUCGAACAAGUUGCAGCGCUACAAAGCGACCGCUCACCGAACCGAGCAAAACAGCCCAAAACAGCUCCGUUUUCGUGUGCCACGGGUUGUUUUCUGCAGUCCGUUGCCGCACGCGAAACGUCAGCCAUCUCAGCACCCUGGAACCACCCGGGUGGCACCAUGGGGGAUGGGGCUUCGGUAUAGUGUCGGGCGUUGAACAACCUUUCGCAAGUUUGUAUGUUACCUUGACGGGAACUUGUUGUCGCGCCCAGCACCCGGUGAGCAACUGUUCGUUUAACCCUCUAAAGUCCUUGUUUUCCCCCUCUCCCUCUUUUCUCUUGUGUACGCAAGGUGCUCGCUGAAUUGCUUGUAAAGCUUCCCCUUUUAGCGAGACGUCGGGACUUGUCCGUCGCUCGUUCUUCGAACUAAUCAACUUUCUCUUUUACAGGUCCUUCGGGACCUGCGAGAGGUUGCAAGUGGGCUGAUCUUUGCGGACGCAAAUCACAAGGGCGAAGCACGACUUAGGCAACGCAAGCUAAGUUCGCGUCUUUGCCGCAAGGGUGCCUCGUGACUUAGGCAAUGUAAGCUAAGUUCGCGUCUUGGCCGCAAGGGUGCCUCACGCCUUAGGCAAUUCUAGCUAAGGUCGUGACAUUGUGGUAUCAAAGCGGGCAAGCACUUCGAGCGAGUAGCGAAGGAACUUCGCAACUUCGCCAUGACAAAGCAUCGUGGCGAAUCAAGCAAGACGGGGCAAGCCGGACCCUUGUCCCAAGCAGCCGCAGGUGGGCUGCAAGUGCACACUCGCUCUCAUGCUGUUGGAGCCGCUCAAGAGGAGCGCGAUAGCAAACAUGAUGAGUGAGAAGUUGGCUACUCUCCGCGAGCGGAGGAGGCGCAAUCUGGAGCGCCAACCGGGAAAAAGAGUCACAAGGAGAGACUCACAACGGCGGAAACCCGCUUGGAUGUUCUUGAAGCGAGCUUGGAGGAACUCUACCAUGGCCAACGAAGGCUUGUUGAGGUAGAGAGCUCGCAAGAAGAAGCAGAGUCCAGGAUCGACAAGGUUGAGGCCCAAGUCGAUCGAUUGUUAGAUGACACCAAAGACUCCGUGCAACACCUGUAGGAAGUUGUGGCGGAACUCACUUCAAGGAUGACCAUACUCACAAGAGCACUAAAUGCGGGAGGAAGCAACACCCGCGUUGCACCACCACAAAACUUGAGGGCACCCGAGCCUCAUGGUUAUGGAGGGGCUAGAGAUGCCAAAGAGCUCGAGAAUUUCCUGUUCGACAUGGAACAAUACUUUUGAGCUACGAGGCCCGAUUCUAAAAAAACCAAAGUUUUAAUAGCAACAAUGUAUCUGAACGGAGAUGCAAAACUUUGGUGGCGAACCCGUUGGGAGGAGAUCCAAUAAGGUCGAUGUCAAGUUGAGACAUGGGAGGACUUGAAGCGGGAGUUGAGAACUCAGUUCCUACCGGAGAGCACAGAAUUCGUCGCAAGAAGGAAGUUGAGACAACUCCGCUAGAGUACUUCCAUUCGAGACUACUUGAAAUAAUUUUCUGCGCUAAUGCUGGACAUACAGGACAUGUCCGAGAAGGAUAAGCUGUUCAGCUUCCUCGAUGGUUUGAAGCCAUGGGCUCAACAAGAACUUAAUCGAAGGAAUGUCAUCGAUGUGGUCGGGGCAAUUGCUGCCGCAGAAAGGCUCAUUGACUUUGUUUCCUCUGAAGACCCGGGAAGAAGAAACGAUCUUUAGGCAAUCGCCCUCCAAACUAUUCUCGAGGGAAGGAGAUCGGGGGCGAACAAAGGAAGAAGAGUUCCCACAAAGGGUCAAGCCCGAAGGACAAGGCCUCGAAACCUGACGGAUGCUUUCUUGUGCGGAGGGCCGCACAUAGUGAGGGAGUGCCCACAAAAACAGGCACUCAAUGCUUUAACAACUUCCAUCCACCCCCCCUAGAUCGGACAAGGGCAAGGCUGUCGCUCUUAGUUCGAGUAGUUCUGAAUCCAGCAGCGGCGACGAGUCGCAAGGACCCCGGAUGGGAGCAAUGCGUUUGUUGAACGCUAUGCGGGGUCAAGUGGGGGAGAACACGAAGACAAGGCUACAAAAAGCAGGAAGUGGUGAGCUGAUGUACGUAGACAUCAAGCUCAAUGGCCAAACGACCUGUGCAAUGGUGGACACGGGUGCUACACACAACUUUAUUGCCAAUCGAGUAGCAAUGUGACUUGGGUUGAUCUUGGAGAAGAGCCCAAGUCGAAUGAAGGCGGUGAACUCGGAGGCCAGGCGAAUCUCCGGGUUAGCGAAGGGAGUUCCUAUCAAGAUCGGAACAUGGAGCGGGAACACCAACAUGAUGGCGGUGCCACUAGACGACUUCCAAGUGAUUCUUGGAAUGGAGUUCAUGCGCGCGGCGAAGUUGGUGCCAAUGCUGUUCCUAAACUCCCUAUGUAUGAUGGGAGGUGACGACCACUGUGUGGUUCCCAUCUCUCGGAGAGGAACUAAGGAACCCCAACAUAUAUCGGCAAUGCAACUGAAGAAAGGGGUGCGAAAAUGUAAAUUAACAUUCGUGGCUGCUAUGAAGCUAGAGCCACUUGACGAGAAGGCCAUUCAUGACCUUGCUGUGGUGGCGAACAUCCUAAAAGAGUUCACUGACGUUGUCACCCGAGUUGCCGAAGACUCUUCCACCACGCAGAGGCGUGGAUCACAACAUCGAGCUGGAGCCAGGAGUGAAGCCUCCAGCAAGACCACCCUACCGCAUGGCCCCGCUAGAGUUGGCAGAACUCAGAAAGCAGUUAGGUGAACUGCUAAGCGGUGGUCUCAUCCAUAGUUCUAAAGCACCAUUCGGAGCUCCAGUUUUCUUCUAGAAGAAACAAGAUGGGAGCCUCCGACUAUGCGUCGAUUACCGAGCCCUCAACAAAGUGGCGGUGAAGAACAAGUAUCCCAUCCUGCUCAUCGCGGACUUGUUCGACCAGUUGGGCAAAGCCAAGUAUUUCUCAAAACUCGACCUUCGAUCGGGGUAUUGGCAGGUGCGCAUUGCUGAAGGCGACGAAGCGAAGACUACCUGUGUGACCAGGUAUGGAGCGUUUGAGUUCUUGGUGAUGCCUUUCAGCUUAACCAACGCUCCGGCCACGUUCUGCACUCUCAUGAACCAGCUAUUCAAGGAGUAUUUAGAUAAGUUCGUGGUCGUCUACUUGGACGAUAUCAUCGUCUACAGUCAAAUGCUCGAGGAGCAUGUCAAGCACCUUCGGACAAUUUUCAAGGUUCUCAGGAAGAACACUUUGUUCGUGAAAAGGGAGAAAUGCUACUUUGCCCAAAUGAAGAUCUUAUUCUUGGGGCAUCGAAUCGGUGAUGGCUCCAUUCGGAUGGACAAAUCAAAAGUGCAAGCGGUUGUGGAAUGGCGAACUUCAAAGAAAGUGCCAGAGUUGAGAUCUUUCCUUGGUUUCGUCAACUACUAUCGACGCUUCAUAGCGGGGUAUUCGAAACGUGCAACUCCACUGACGGAGUUGCUGAAGGAGCAGCCUUGGAAGUGGUCUGACAAAUGUGAAAUAGCAUUCCAAGAUCUAAAGGUUGCUGUUCUGGAAGAAUCGAUGCUCAAAUUGCUUGACUAUGGGGAGCCCUUCGAAGUCCAUACAAAUGCUUCAGAUUUCGCUAUUGGGGGAGUGCUCAUGCAGGAGGGUCAUCCGGUGGCCUGCGAGAGCCGCAAGCUUAACGAGACCGAGCGGCGGUAACCGGUGCAUGAGAAGGAAAUGAUAGCGGUGAUCCACAGUCUACGAGUUUGGCGACACUAUCUUCUCGGAUCACAAUUUGUGCUGAGGACAGAUAACAUCGCUUUGAGCUAUUUCUAAACUCAGAGGAAACUCUCCCCAAAGCAAGUAUGAUGGCAGGACUUCUUGGCUGAAUUUGAUAUGGUAAUGGAGUACAAGCCUGGAAAGGCAAAUGUCGUGGCCGAUGCAUUGAGUCGGAAAGUGGAGCGUGUAAAUGCCAUACAAUUGGAGGGCAGAGGCCAAGCCAGUCAGUUGCACCUUGGCUCUCGUGGAGAGGGCCUUCUAUUUGCCGAAGAUGGGGACUGAUGUAGAGGAAUAUGUUCGAACAUGCCUCACUUGCCAACAAGACAAGGUGGAACAACAGAAGCCGAUGGGACUUUUGGAGCCGUUGCCCAUACCAGAAAGGAUGUGGGAGAGCAUAUCCUUGGACUUCAUAUCAAGCUUGCCCGCAGUAGGGAGACUCGGAUCGAUACUCGUGGUGGUCGAUCGAUUUUCAAAGUAUGCAACUUUCAUUGCUGCUCCCCUACACUGUUCAGCAGAGGAGGCGGCCAAGCUGAUGAUGAAGGAUGUGGUGAAGUAUUGGGGAGUCCCGCACAAUAUCAUAAGUGAUCGAGAUGCUCGGUUCUUGGGAUGAUUUUGGAUCGAGCUAUUCAAAUUGUUGGGGUCCAAGUUAUACUUCUUCACAAGCCUCUACCCUUAGACAGAUGACCAAACUGAAAGGAUAAACUCGCUCCUAGAGCAAUAUCUUUGGCACUACGUGAGUGCCAACCAACGAGAUUAGGUGAAAUUGUUGGACAUUGCCCAAUUCUCCUACAACUUGCAGCGGAGCUCUGCGUCCAACAAGAGCCCAUUCGAGAUCAUUACAGGACAACAACCGUCAACUCCUCAUACCAUGGCAAUCGGGUAUACUGGGAGUAGUCCGUCAGCCUACCACUUCACAAAGGAGUGGCACCGAAAUACAGAUAUUGCACGGGCUUACUUGGAGAAGGCGACAAAAAGGAUGAAGAAGUGGGCAGACUUGGGAGGGCGACUGCAGGAGUUCAAAGUCGACGAUUUAGUGUUGGUAAAGCUCCAACCAGCAUCACUACAAUUCUUCAGGAACAAAGUACACAAAGGAUUGGUGCGCAAGUAUGAAGGGCCCUUCCCAAUUAUCAGCAGGGUGGGCAACGUCUCCUACAAGUUACAGCUGCCGACGUGGCUCAAAAUUCAUAAUGUUUUCCACGCCAGCAACUUGAAAGCCUACCACUCAGAUCCGCAAGAUGCUUCCCGAAAUGUUCCAACUCGACCACCCCCCACUAGAGCCUCCUACGAAAAACGAGUUAAAACCAUUUUAACGGAUCGCAAGAUAAAGCUACCAAAUGGUGGUGAGCAGACCAAGUACUUGAUGAAGUGGUGAAAGCUUCCCCGAACCGAAGCCAGUUGGGAGCCUGAAGAGGCCCUACAACAUGAAGAAGCAGUCAUCAACAACUACCAACAAACGUCGACGAGGGCGUCAACAGUUUAAGUGGGGGAGAAUGUCACGAACGGUCGUCGCGCACCCGCAACAACUUCGUUCAACGAACCGUUCGUGGCUUUUGCAUGCUUGUACCGAGACAUGGCAACAUAUUUUGCUUUAGUUUUGUGUGUUUUUGCUUGUAAAAAUGCAUGUUCAAAUAGGUUGCAGCACUGCAGCUCGACCGCUCGCCGCGCCGGACCGAACUGCCCAAAAUAGCUUUGUUUUCGCGUGCCAUGGCUUGUUUUCUACAAGCCACAGCUGCACGCGAAACGUUAGCCAUCUUAGCACCCAGGAACCCCCCGGGUGGCACAGGCCUGGAUGGGGCUUUGGUAUAUUGUCGAGCGUUGAAAAAUCUUCACAAGUUCGCACGUUAACUUGAUGGGAACUUGCCUUCGCGCCCGACACCCGGUGAGCAGUUAUUUGUGGACUUGCAACUGUUCGUUCUACCUUCUAAAGUCAUUGUUUUCUCCUUCCUCUCUUUUCUCUCUUGCACUCAAGGUGCUUGCUGAAUUGCUUGUAAAGCUUCCUUCUCCCGAGACGUCGGGACUUGUCCGUCGCUCGUUUUCAAUCUAAUCAACUUUCUGUUUUACAGGUCCUUCGGGACUUGUACGAGGUUGCAACUAGGCUAAACCUUUGCGGACGCAUAUGUCGCAAGGACGCCUCAUGACUUAGGCAAUCCCAGCUAAGUCCGAGGAGUUGGCGCAAGAGUGCUUCACGACUUAGGCAACUUCAACUAAGUUCGUGAUUUUGCCGCAAGAGUGCCUCACGACUUAGGCAAUUCCAGCUAAGUCUGUGACAAUACGUUCAAAGAAUGUCAGCAAUUCGUCACCUUUGACCUUGUUAACAUAAACAAACUUCACUUAAUCCACUUUUGGAUAACCCUAUGAGGAUUUCUUAGUGUAACAACAAGAUAUCAAAUUACAAACAUAAACAAAAAGUAUUCAAAUUGUUUUAAGAAAAUCUUAGUAUUGCUUUGAACUUCAAUCCUCACAACACAGUCAAGAUCAUAAUCGUUGAGAUUUUGUACUAGAUACUUUCAUGUUAUCCCACAAUAACAGAUUGGAAUAUAACUAGUUUUUGUAAUUUGUAUAGGAUUUAUCCAACUUCAUUGAAAAGUGCAAUGGUAGCAACAAACUCUUUAUAUAACAUUAACAAAUAAUUUUUCAAAAGGUAACAGAUUUAUCUCAUUAUGACUGAUUUCUAGGAGGACUAUAAUGGAAGCUCAUAACUUGACUCAUUAAGUCAAUAAAAAAUUAUCUAUAUGUAGAAGUAAUAAAUAACAUGCAUGAGCUUUUGCUAAAAAGGUUUCCAGAAUGAUGAUCAAUGACACUGAUACAUAAGUAACUCAGAAGAUAAAGUCAUUUUAUGCCAAAAAGAAAUCUCAAGUAGAAUCUUAGACCUCACAGUGGGACAAAAAUUCCACCACACUGUCCUCAAGUUCUGAGUGGAGAGGUUCUCCCAGUAAAGCAAUUGAGUGAAUAAUCCAGUAGCAUAGCCAAGGUCGACUGCAAUUAUCAAUUAUAAAAUGAUUUAAAUGAAAACAAAAAAAUAAAGAAAUCAAAUGCUAUUCAAACGGAAAUGGUUAUGUAGAAAAAAAAAAACAUUCAUAAAUAUGUUACCAACACAGAAAAAUCCAUCUUACUUGGCAUCUAGCACAUGAUAGCUCGGUCCAAGAAGUCCGAGUCCUCUUGUUAAAAACUCGAUGUGUGUGUCACGCCAAAGCUCUAGCCUGCACUUCUACUGAUUUACUUGAAAGGUUCUUUCCAAAUUUUUGCUAGACCGAAGGACUGAAUUAGGACAUUCAAAUUAAAAAGAGAAAUUUUGAGGAAUGCAAAAAAAUUAUAAGCAUUAAAUAAGCAUUGACUACCAUGUUCUCUUCUUAAGUUAGAUGUCCUCAAUUUGUUCAAAGAAAAUAAAGAUAAGGACAAAAGGUGGGAAGUCCUUUUCUACAUUGAAGUGCGCUGAGUUUCAUAAGCAUAUUUACAUCAAAUACAUGCCACAUACACACCACAUUGGUAAGUAAACAGCAGAAGAUGUGUGAAUUUCGGGUUAUAAUGUAGUUCUCUGGAAGCAUGGGACUUCAGAUAUAGGCAGAUCAUGUUAAUGCACAUAAGCUGAUUUUCUUUUUAUUAUAGGUAGGCUUGAUGUCAAGCAGUGAGCACAAAAGACUUAAUCUUAUAGCAAAUAGUACCUGUGGUGUGUUCACUAAGAUGAAUUCUUCAAGCCUUAAUUCAAACAUAGGACAAGUAUAUUGAUUAUUUUCCAUUUACUUACAAAUAUCAAUAGUUGCCAACGAGAUGACUUUGGUUAUUUAUGUCAGUAUUAUAGAAUAAAUAACCUGUAUAUUUAAUGCAAAGCCAGCACUUUGGUUACAAUCUUCUCCACUUAAUGUCUUAAUGUGCUAGUCAUAGCUUGGAAUUAGACUGCUCGCGAGGACUAUUCAAGUAACCCUUUCCAAUUCGAGCCUCUCAUCGUGCUCAACACUAGGUUAUAACUCUGGUAGGAGCUUCCCUACAACCUUGUAAGACUUAUUGGUCUAGUUUCUUCUUAAAACGCUGGGAAUGAACCAUCUAUUCUCCCGUUAAGGAAUCUUAAACAUUAGAAACCACCACAAGAACCUAUUUCAAGUAAUAAUGGCUAACAUAAGAUGUUGUUCGUUCAACCAGAAUUAUCUUACUGGUUUGUUUCCGUCCAUGAAUCUUUUGCAACCUUCGAGCGACAAUAGCCUUGGACCAAGAUAAUCUUGUAUUAUUUGAUCUGACGUUCACAUUUUCAUGCAAAGAUAAAGAAACGGGCAAAGAAAUGUGGCUAAAUUCUUUGUCGUUGUGGUCGAACGUACUAGGGUUAAGAGUCUGAGCAACGGAUGACCUAUGAACUUUCUCGAGCAAUCACACCUGUAUGGGAAAAAGGAUUCCAGGUCGCAGAAGAUAAAUAAGGGUUUCCUAGCAAUGAUCGAAGUGGGGAGGACUUACAUGAAGGACUGGGUGUGGGGGGCGAUGCCACGGAGAAUCCGGUAGAUCUCGAAUACUUCCUCCUCCACCUUAAGCUGCUCCAGCUGCGUCACGGUGAGCCUUCUCGGCCCGUCCGAAGGGGAGGGAGGCGGGGAAGAGGUUGACGAUGAGGGGGGAGAAGACUCCAUGGCAACGGAACUAUCGCUUCUUGGAAGAGAACCACCGGCUACUUCGUUCAUCGCCAGUGGGUAGCACAAUUCAGCCGACCUUGCGUUUUGGAUGCUGCGUCACUGUCGCUUUAAAUGUCUCGCUUAUUAGAUCCGACGGAUACUAUUAACGCUCAGAUAAUUGUUUAUAAUAUUAUAUAAAACCUCAAUAUAAUUACCUAUUGGAUCCGAUAACCCACCCAGGCGGCGAUUAUCGGAUUCGGAAUUUUGCCUGUAAGGCUGCAAUAGUUGUUUCGAGCGUAAAACCCGACCCGACACGGCCCACUCUUUGCCACCGUUGAUUCCGCCUCCUUAUUCGACUCGAUGGACGAUUCUGAUGCGCUUUUCCUAUGGCUAUUUAAGCGCAUAGCCACGGCCGAUCCCAAAUCGCCGAGGGUCUGAUCGCCGCUCACUGUUCUCAGCGAAGGAUUCGAUCAAAGCUAUUGUAAGGCCCUGAAACCCUAAAUCUCCGAUUCCCUCCUCGAAUUCUCACCCAGUGCAUCUUCUUCUCCUGCAUUCACGUGAAUCUGUAAUCUCUGGAUGGGUAAUUCCUACAAUCUGUUGUUUCUUCCCGGGUUUGAUUUGCAUUGCGAGCUUUGGCACUGGAUUUGAUAAAUUGUUUCUUCUAUUACGCUGCCUGACGGUUCUUAUGCAUUGAGGUUUCGGAUUUGUUUAUGGGGAUUCUGUUUUCGGUAAUUCCAGAUUAACAUCGUUGAAGAAUUUGAGAGAAAGCUGUGUGCUUUCUUUCUUGAUUUCAUGUUUCGGCUAUUUGUUGGGUGUUUGCUUACACGGGAUCAGAUCGUCUAAAACAAAAUGUGUUAGCAACCAUCAUUAUAUGAUUGAAGUGGUUGUGGUGAUUGUUUUAAAGCAAAGGUUAUCUAAGGAUUAAAUUGUGAUUUUAUGCAUGUUGUUCUCUGGAUCACUUGCAAGGAAGGAUAUUCUACCGGUUAUUGAGUAAAAUUGCAGGUCUGAUCGAGUUAUGGGUUGGUAAUUUGCAGAAAAUGGCUGAAUCAAAGCCUGCCAUGAGAAAACCGGAGUUUACUAAGGUUAACCAGCUUAGGCCUGGUACUAGUGGCCAUACGCUCACAGUGAAGGUGGUGAGUUCAAAGACAGUGCUGCAAAAGGGGCGUGCCGCUGGUUCCCAGGUUCGUCAGAUGCGUCUAGCAGAAUGUCUGGUGGGGGAUGAAACUGGAAUGAUUGUCUUCACAGCCAGGAAUGAACAAGGUAGAUGUUCUUAUAUUAUGUGUAUGUACGUAUGCAUGUUUUAUGGUCCAGUAAGUUCACUUUGCGGUUGAGAUUGAAAAACGAAAAAAAAAAAAGAAAGAAAAUUGUUGAGCAACAAAAUGAGAAGUGUGAGAUUCUUGACAUAGUGUUGCUUCUACCUUGUCUCGUUUAUGAUGGUUGCUUUUCCUUCAAAUUUGCCAAACUGUAAAAUUUGAUCCGGCAAACAAUAAUUUCCAUUUGAGCUGCUUUUAAAGGGGCUCAUUCAUUAUCUUUAAGAAAUUAAAGGGAAGGACAGCAAGGG